AACUAAUCCGAGAAUUUGAUGUACAUGUAGUUGAAGAAAACUCAAUGACACUCUUCUGAGUCACACUCACACCUACGCAAUUCAGCUUACGCCUGCAGACACAGUGAGUGACAUAUAUAGAUCGUGUUCUUGCUUUGUAGAGUUGAUUUGAACGAGUCUUAACUUCUCUCUCGUGGUCGCUGUCAUAUUAUAUAUAUCUGAUGCCAUUCCUUGAGAGCCUGAUCGAACUGAGUGAUCGAUCAGCACCAACUAUCUAUAAAAGAAUUGCAACAACUGCUACUGGUAGUGAUUAUGAUCUCAAAUGAGGAGAAGAACAAGUCCCAGAUCAGAAUCAGAAUCAGAGGAAGCAUGAAAUAAGGGAUUUUUGUACUCGUUCCUGGCUCGCCAGAUAUUAUGUUGAUUUUGAUAUAGACACGUUUAGGGUUUACUUAAAGUAUUAAGUAAGCUCUAUAUACAUACAUGCAUGAUGAUGAUCAUACGUCGACCCCAAGAAGUUAAUUGAAAUUGCCCUCCUAGCUUAAUAAUCCUUGUUUAAACCAAUGACAAUUAUGCAACAUACUAAAUUAUAACAUCAAUAACAAUUAGUCUCUCCCAUGAAAGGGAUGCCCGGGCUAGACUACUCGUUUGAGUGAGUCAAUUAAUUACUUUAAGAAAUCACUAGAUUAUCCAGGAGCUCAAAAUCUCCAAUCGAUUAUUAUUUUUUUAAUGAAAUAUGUCAUACUCUAUUAUUAACUCAGCAAGCAGUACAAGAACCGUUCCAUAGAAAUUACUACAAAUUCACCUAAAACAAAAAGAAUAAGAGCCCCGACUGAUAAAAUUUUUCCUAUUGUAGGGUCACCGAUUUCUCUAUUCCUUUUGCGAUCUCUCCCGCUCAUAAUUAGAUAAUAAAAAGCCCAUCAUUAAUUUGUAGAAAAAGGUGUGAGCCCAGAACAAAAAUAAAAAUUAAAAACAGAACAACGCUUAUCCAAGCCCAACAAGGCCCAAACAAUGGGAUCCAGUUGGAAACCCUAUGUUGCCGCCGUCAAUCCCCGCCCAAGCUGACGCCGCCGCCGUUGCCGUGCUCACAUUUUGAAACCCGACACCAGCAACCAACCCAAGCACGUGGUUUUGCACUCCAAGCACAACACCAUUAGCAAUGCCACCGCCAUGAGAGAGGAGAUAGAAAACUCCGGCCGGGUUUCCAAACACCACCGAUCGAGCCUAACGUCACCCACAUGAGGGUCCUGAAGCGAUUCAGUUAGCCUCACACCGUCGCCGACCUUGUCACCCAUAUGAAGAUACUGAGGGAAACAACCAUCCCGAUCGAUAUUACUCACCGCAUCGUUGACACACCUCCCAUAGUCGACCAGGUCCAAAGGAUCCUGAAUCGACCCACAGAUGACUUGAGGAAUGAAACUCAGGCUUAUUUUCGAUUCCACCAGUUCCUUUAUAUGAAGGUUGUUUUUGAGAAAUAGGGAGAAGAUAGAAUAAUUAAUGACAGUCAAAUCCCAGAAACAUUCCAGGCUCAGCUGCAAACAUGCAUGCAAAGGCAUCAUGACUCCAAGAGCUGAGCUAUGACGUGGUUCUGAUUUUCAAGUUGGACGUAAGGUUUGGAAUCCAUAUAGUGCUUGUUUGUGGGGUUUGUUAGGAUUCAAGAGGGAUGAGAAUUGGGGAUGAAAAGAAUACAAAGAGAGAAAAAGCAAGGGUUGAGAACCAAUACCACCUUGUCUGCUUAUGUCUAUUUACUCAUGCAUGCUAUGAAAGCCUGUUUCAUGAAUAGUACGUAGUUCCAAAUUCUUACGCAGUUCCAAAUUCAUAGCAUUGAGACUAAGCUAUAAGAAACUACUCUAUGUGCUGCUUUUAUGAUAUUAUUUCAUACUGGUCUUCCUGGCAGCGAAGUACGUUGUUGAUGACUUUGCUCACAGUUCCUUCUCAACAUUCAGAAUUGCACUCGAACCCAAAAAAAAAAAAACCCAAAGAGUCAAAAUUGCACCAAUGAGAAUACUGACUCUUGCAACAGCUAACAUUCAUAGAGUAAGCAUUUUAAAACUAACCCAAGUUUUGUGUACUUGGGAACCAAGACUUUCGAAAUGAACAAAAGGAGGUAACAAAAAUGAUUUGGCAGGGGAAAGAGGCCAAACUAAGUACCUAACAUAGAUCUUACACAAGAUUAAAUAUGGGUGAUGAAGUUAUGAAUCAAUCUACGCCAAAACUUCAUUACAGCAACUGUUUACCUUAGUGACCCAUGAUCACAAAAAAAGCACUUUGUUUAGUGGGUUGUACCAAAGAUCAUCUAAUAAAUGGGACACUGAAGUUAUCAUUUCAACUAAUUUUAUUGCUGGGAUUAAUAAUGACAGGACAAAAGAAGUUUCAAAAUGACUAGGCCAAAUGACCAAGUUUGAUUGGAGAGAGAGUGAGAGAGGUUGAGGCGUAAAUCUAUUAACAUGGAUGGCUGAUAGAGUAAUUAGGCUGGAAUCCUUUGGGAAAUAAUCUUUCCGGUCUCAGCAUUGUUGUUUCCUUCAAAAAUGGAAACUAUUUGUAUUCAUGCGGGUGUGAUCAUUCUUCAUGUUGGGCAUUAGAAAUGGAGGGGUUGUCACUUUUAUAGUUUUAUUAGUUUAAGUAUACUAGUUCCCGAUCAACCAGGCAAUGUAGCAAAAGACAAGUAAGAAGCUGAACAUGAAUGUAUCAUAAAAAUCCAGGUAUAUAUAACGAAUGCAAUGGGAAGAAGCUAGAACCUGUAUUACAAAUCAUGUAGAUCGAAUAGGGCCGGGAUGGACUGAUUUACUAGAACUUGGCAGAUCACCAUAUUGGAACGAAGUCUAUAAAACAAUGGAGGUAAGCACUUCUUCAACUUAAAACCAGGUGAUAGUAGAAGAGACCAGGCCAGGAGAAAAACAAACUGCUGUCUGCUGAUAUGUACAUCAUGGCCGCUAUAUAUAGUUUGAUUCUUUGCAACCUAAAUUUUUGUGGCUCACCCGCAGACUGAGCUUACUAAUGAAUGCAAGUUCAAAUCCAUCACACCACACCAUUAGUCUGAUCUUCCCCAGAGCCGGCCCUGGGGCGGUCAAGGCGGCGCCGCCGCACAGGGCCCCCGGCCGGCAAGGGGCCCCUUUUUUUUGUCCAGUGAAAGUUUAUAUACAUAUAUAUAUAUAAUAAUUUAUCUUUGUUAGCAAACUGGGUGUCUGGUUGAGUUGGUUUAGGGGGUGUUUUUGUUUGAUGAGGCAAGUAGGUUAGUAGUUCAAGCGAGGCCCCCUGCUGUUUUUUAUUUUUUUUCCUUUUUUUUCCCUUCUUCUAUUAGGUUUAGUCGUGAAAUUAAAAAAAACCCUAUUCAAUUAUUGAUCACCUCGGUUUGAUCGUUGUUCCUCCGUCUCUCUACUCUUUGUUUCCUCCUGGUACUCAUAUUUCCUAUCUUCAUCUUCAAAUUUCCCAACUCCUAUCUCUUAAUUGGCUUUGUUUAUACACUCAAACUCUCUUAUUCUAUUCCCUAAAAGUAUUCUUUUGAUUUCCUACAAUUUUAUACAUAAAUUGAAUAUACACAUAAUAAAUUUAACAACUUGUUUCUUGUAUUGGUUUGUAAAUUUAGAAGCAAAGGAAGGGAGCUUGGAGGUUUGAAAGCAAUUGAGGCUGGGGCUUCAAAAUGAAAUCAGUGUUCUUUCAAGUUUUUUUUUCUCAACACAAAGGGCCCCAAUUUUUUUCUCGCACCGGGUCCUUCAAAACAUUGGACCGGCCCUGAUCUUCCCUCUAAUAGACUCCACUGCUACACUUUUUUGUACAUGAUACAAUGACAAUGGCAAAAUGCUACUUCACUGUUUGCAAUUUCUGGUUACAUGGAUGAGUAUUCAGAAUCAGAAGAACUUCAGUAAUUAAGGAGUAAUGACUGAAAACCGUGCAAGUUACUUGAAAUUUGUCACCUCAUUUUUCAACUGGCUACUGCAUGCAGGAAACUCUGGAAGCCGGUCCAAACUUCCGAUAAUUUAAUUUCAUCCUUCGAGAGCAAGUCUAUGACAAUGGAGGUUGUAGAGUUAUAUGGUGACAGAUUUCUUUCCGACUUCUUAUGAAGAAGUUUAACAACCUCUUUACCAAGCCAUGAUUUUGGCACAAACCACGCAUAAGGGUAUUAAAAGUGAGGAGGUUUGGAGCACAACCCUUGCCUUCCAUAAUUCCAUUUCCAAAAACAAACUAUUUGCCUUUUCGAGUUGUCCUUCUAUACAGAGCCCAUGAAUCAUCAUGCUAUACGUUAUACCUCAUCCACACUUGCCAAAUCUUUUGGGAAGGGAAAUCUAUGACCAAGGUUGGUAACCGCAUCCGCCAAAAAGUUAGCUUCACGGUGGGCAUGCACAAAGCUGAUAUUUUCGAACCAGCUAGCAAUGUGAAGAGCAUCUCGAAUGUGGGAUCUAAGACGCCAAGGAACAUCACAAUUUCUUUUGACGCAAUUGAUAUUAAGGAGAGAGUAGUCAAAAUGUCUUUGAUUUGAUACUUGCAGUAUUAACUUCUAUAACCGCUAUGCAAGAAGGAACCAACUUGGGCCUCCUUGGUUCGUGUUCACCAUUGGAAUGAAAGAAAAAGGGAUUCAAUUCAAAGGCGAUCGAUUACAGUGCCUUCUUCGAUCAGUGGCAAAGAAUUUGUCUCACACUCUCACUAUAUCGAUGAUAUCAAUCCACAUCUCCGUGAAACUUCCGUUUUCAUUGUAUUCCAGUCACAUACUACAUAAGUUUUCUUUUGUCGAGUAAAUUUUUUUGACUACGCUGCUACGGAUCGAGAGGUAUAUUUUGGUCCUUAGUCUAUAUAUGCAUAUGCGUGACUUAGCUAGUUAAACUACAUGCUGUCGUUUACAAAUGGAUCCAUUAACAUAUGCAAGCAUAUGAAUAUGAUGCAUAUGUAAACAUGCAUUUUCUUUUGAACGGGGUGUUAAUUGUACUUCAAUAGAUCAACAGCAGAAGGAACAGGAGCUCUUGACUGCUCGGUAUGGUGUUCAUCAUAUGCACGAUUACGUAGUUAAAGAAUAAAGUACUAUGUAAUUGCUUUACUUUAAUGAGUUUAAUCAAUAAGCGUCAAAGAAAAUUUGCCAUAUAUGUUUCACAAUAUUCCAAACGCAGGAUGCAAAAGUAGCGUACGUACUGGAUAUUCCCAGAACUGGACAGACUGAUAGUCUGAUACUGAUAGUGAAGGCAUGCCUAAGCUUUAUUCAUUAAAUCUUCUUCUUGAACAACUAUUUGAGAUAUACAAAAUCUUAAAAACAUUAUAAAAAAAAAUUAAAUAAAGAAAUACUAUUUGAGAUAUUAUGUGUGUUUGGACUUUGGAGAAUUAAACCAAUAAUGGGAUAGGCAAAGAAACAAGGACAAGAAACAUGUUUCACUAAAUUGCGCUGCAAAACUAUGCAUCUAGCUUCUUUAAAAUAUAACCAUUUGUACCAUUUGGCUUCUCAUAAUGAUCAUUUUUGUUCUGAACAAUAAUUAAGAUAGUACAUGCAAAUACAAUAAGAGAAGAGCUUUUUCUUGACAUGAUCGAUCCAUGAGCUGAGAGAUCGACUUGGAAAAAUUGAACCAGUUAGCAUGAUUAUACAUGAAGAUUGAUCUCAAAUUCUUGAUAGCAGAUGUCAUUGCUUAAAGUAAAACCAAACAAAAUCAAACCCUAGAAAGCAGAAAGGAAAAAAGAGAGAAAAAUACCUAAUAAUAUUGAUUAAAGUACAUUGGCAAAUUACUGAUUACAAUCAAUUAAUUGCAUCAUUAAUAAACAGCAAGAGUUCUAUCAUAAACCUGAUGAAAUAUGACGAUCAGUAGAAGAAGAUCACAUGUUAAUCUAACUGAAACUAGAGAGAUCAGAGUGAGAUGGAGACAGAAAUUUACUUAAAAAUAAGCUAGCUAGGGUAAAAAUGAAGAACCCUGGCCUUGGAAUGAAAGUAACCAAAAAUCCACAAGGUAUGUUGGAUUUGCUAGCUAAGCUAGGUUGAUGUAGUUAAGCUAGCAAAUAAUCGGACCGAGACGCUUGAUUCCCCUUUGAGCCAAAGAUCAGUUAUGGAUCCCUCGUUUCAGAGAAGAUCGAAACACGACCCUUUACUCAUACAAUCAAAAGCAUAGCUCAUGAUCAUAACCAGUACCAGUAUCAGUACUAGUAGUAGUGAAGCUCAAGCCUGCAGCUCCCUCUUCUGCUUCUUCUUCUUGACCUCCUCCUCCUCCUCCUUCUUCUUCUUGUUGGUGAUGAUGAGAUUGGGUUUGUUUUGGUGGUGAGUGGUGAAGAAGAUGACGAUAAAAUAGGAGGUGAUGGGGGUAAUCAUGAUAGUUCAUGAUGAUGAUGAUGAGGGUGGUGUAGAGAGUCAGAGCUGCUGAGGAGGCCAAGGAGGAGAGCAUCAUAAUUGCUAGCUGUUGGGGUUUUUUGCUGUUUCAAACUCUGAGCUUAAAUCCAAAGCUGCUAGCUAUUAUUGCGUUUUUAUGAUCACCAAGCCUUGUUGGUGUGCAAGCUAAGCCUAACUUUUUCCAUGCCCCCCACACUCUCACAGCUCCUGUUCCAAAUAAAAGAGGUUUGCAUUUUCUAUAGAGAAAAAGAAUCAGCUGCAGCAAUUGUUGGAAACCUUGGUUCCAACACCCCAACCAACUUACCUCCAAAUGCUCACUUUUGUUAACUUGCAUAAUUAUUCUUUCUUCAUUAAUUUUUAUAGAUGAUAGUAUAUACUGACAUUAUCUCACUAAUUAGAAAUAUAUAACUAGCUACAUAAAUUUUCGUAACAGAUUAUUUAACCAACAUGAGUUGUCAGCGAUAAAGUAGAAUUACACCUAUAUAUGUCUGUUUUUUUUUUUGCUAAUUGAGAUUCCAAGACUUGGAAAGCUCAGCUGGAAGUACUUUGUAGUCAAUGUUAUCCUGGUUGUUUUGUUUAUUCAGGCUGUGUUGUAUAAUGUCUACAGUAAAAGGCUGUUUGUGACUGUAUAUAUAUGGAGUUUAUGAAAUCCUCAAAGAUAAGCUUUAUUGGGUCUAGUUAAAGAUGCAAUUGGCAGGCCAGCAUCAUAUUUAUAAGUAGUAUACUUGUCACUUUGGUUAUAGUAUAUGAAAUUGAUUUUAGACUUUGGCAGAGGAAUCUAGAACUGGGGAAUGACAGAAGGCAUAUACAAGAGAAUCAAAAAAUACCAAAAUAAUACAUGCUGGUGGUACUUCUGCAAAAGCAUUUUGGUCUCUCUCUCUCUCUCUCUCUCUCUCUCUCUCUCUCUCUCUCUUUUGUUGGAGGGUUAAAAAAGCAUUCUGGUGUUUAAUUUUCAAUCUUCUCAUCUAUCAGUCAAAACAAAGGUUUAUCUUUUAUUUUUUACUGGAAGCAUGAAGAUUGAAGUUUGAGGGAGCUAGCUAGCUGGGAAUUACUCCAAUAUUUAUAUACAUUAAUACAUAUAUAAUAUAUGUGUAUAUAUUCCUCUUGAGACAAAAGAUAAGAUUCCCAGAUGAGCAUAUUUUGAUCAAUGGGUCAUCUCAGUAGUCAGUCGCCAUUACCAACCUGUAACCUGUUCCAAUCACCAUGAGGAUGAUGAAAGUAAUCAAUCAAUAAAUCAUUAAUUCUUUUAUACACAUGAUGUCUGUGUAGCUUGUUGUGCAGGUUAAAAUAUGAAAAUCCCAGACCCUCUGAAUAUCCUGAAUGAGGCAUGCAGGAAUAUUCAAUAUCGAUCCUAGCUGCAACUUCACAAUUAGAGACUUUAUCAGAUGAACCAGCUCAUACUUUUACUUCAAUACUUUAGUAAUGUAAUAUAUAUCAUGCUUAUACUAUUUUUUUUCUUUUCUGUAGGAUGCAAUUCGUCGAACAUCAUAUCUUAGCGGAUAGCUUGACAUAUCUCACUUUCGUAGUAUAUUUUGCCCCUUUCGGAAGCCUGUUUUUAGCAUUGUAGUAAACAUGUAGCUAGCCUAUCUGAAACUAGCCUCUUUGUACAUUUUAAGCAUCUAUGAUCUUUUCUGAAGAUCGAAGUGUUUUCAUAAAUUUCAGUAAAACAUCUAAACCUUGACAACCUUAAGAAAAACAGUCGUUAAACACAGGGUGUACUAUGGAUGAUGGAGAAGGAUGCUCUAAUAUCCCUAAACCCGUGCUGCAUGUCUGUGAAGAUUAUUAACCACCCAGUAAACCAGCUAGAAAAGUAAAAGAAACAAAUUGGAGCAGGGGGUAUGAUACAAAACAAUGACUUUUAUGUUUUGACUCUGCAAAAGUUACCAACGUUGAUCCAGCCUUUUGUUCCACUUUGUUGGUGUUGCCACCAAUACAGUUCGAUUGAAAGACAAAAGAAAAAUAAAUAAAGGACAACCGGCCUAGCUACAACAACAAAAAAGCAAACAUUUUUUCCGGAGAUUCAAAUCUUUUUAGCACCAAACAAAGUCGAUCCAAAACCAAAGCUCACAAAAGUUCACAGUAUUUCAUGUUUCCCAGUCUUUAUCAGUGCUUAUUAAACUUUGAUCAUAAGAUGAUUAAGAUCAUUCAUGGAUCCAACAAACAAGAAACUCAUUCCCACACCACUUUAUGUUAAUAUUCCAUGAAAUUAAGAAGAAUUAUUUUUCCAGCAUAUAUACUGCCAAUUCAUACAUGAUGUUGCUUCUGGUUUAGUAAUUACCCAGUACAGCCAUGAAAAUAACCAAAUGGCUGGAAGACCAAUAUCUCAACUUCACUGUUUACUAUCUAAUCUGUGUGAUUCAUUCACCUGCAGUGUUUAUGAAACUAGGCAAUGAGGAUCCCUAUAUAGUAUAUGCCAAAGAAAAGAGAAAAGAAAACCAAAAAGGGGGUAGUGAGUGAGGCUCCUAUGACUCUUAACAGAAAAAAGUGAGUUUGAUUCUUCAAGCACUAUGAACUGUUUGGGUUUUGAAGUCUGGGUAUCAUCAUUACAAUGAGAAAGUGGGUUGACACCACCCUUCAUUGUAAAGCUGUGUGAUCAAAUAAUAACCUAACUGACAAUCAGAACAUGCACAGAAGCUGCUUUCAAUUCCAUAGUAAUUUACUGUUUACAAUAUAUUUGGGUAUCAGUGGCAACUGUGGCAUUAAGCAGCCCGGAUAGUGUUUUACAGUCUUUUGCCUAAUUGUCAUUGUAAGUUUAGUGGAUGAGGCCCAGUUACUGCUUUACAAUCACCUGCAAUUUCCCCCCAGAAGUAAGGGCAGUAAAACUUUACAACCUGGAACCGAGUCCAGAAUGGGGAAGAUGAUCGAGGUUCUCUUGUGGAUGACAUUUUUUUUAUAAUGCUGAUGAUGAUUGAUAAGGAAUACUGUGAAAAUGUGGUAAUCUAUGCCAUGCAUAUAGAUAUAAUUAUCGUAACAUCAUAAAAUGAGUGUUUACAGUGCAAAUAUUAGUCAUUUAAAGUAGUAACAUGAGUUCUUAAAGUGGUCAAUUUAAGAUGAUAGAAGAGAAAGAAGUUGCAUCUGAAACUGAGGAAUGUUGAUUUCCUAGUGCGACUUGGAAAGAUCCCAACCAAACCCUAGCAUAGCCUCUCUCUUUGCUUCACGAUGAAAGGUACACCAAUAGGUCUUAGGCCACUGUUCAUUAAGAGAGUUACUAUGUUUGGGGGCAAGGAAGGUUAUUUCGCUUUAUUUUGCUUUUUAGUAUUUCAUGUCCAUUUUUUUGGACGUAGUUUUGAGGAUUGUAUUUUAAUUCGUAGUUUGUAUUAAGUACCUUGCUUUGUGUAUGAGUAAUUUUUAUAUUAUUCAAGCAUUGAUCGUUCUACGAUUGUUGAUUGGUUUUAUGCCCAAUAUGUUAUUCAAACUUUUUCAAAAACAAAGUGGUCAAUUUUCUUUGUUACCACAUGAAUCCUUGGGUGACAAAUACGUGAGGCCUAUAAGGCCUUCUCCAGCUCGUGGUUGCAAAUAAAAGUUCUAUUCAAAAAAAUACAACCCCAUUUGACACUAUUUAUCCAAAUAGUAGGUUUUAUAAUCAAACCAUCUCCAACCAGCAUGUUGCAUCUGCUACAAAAUGUGAAAAUGUUGCACGUUGGUCGGCCCACAAUUGGGGUGUGUAUGUGAAAUAGAACAGUUGGAUUUCAUGUUCUAGAUAUGAAACAUUAAGAGCAUCUCCAAUGGAAUAGUCUUUUUUGCCACAGAAGCUCAACAACUAGUUUUGACAGAACCACAAUGCUCCAACCCAGAGGUCAAAUCUACAUGGUUGCCACCGUGGUUGAUAGUUCUUAACUUCACUGUCAAAUUUGACAUCUUCAAUUCAAGAUGUCUUUGUUUGUUUAUCAUUGUUUCACUCUCUCUCUCUCUCUCUCUCUCUCUCUCUCUCUCUCUCUCUCUCUCUCUCUCUCUCUCUUCGUUCUCUCUUUAAAUUUGACAUACCCAUUGGAGUAGAGAUUGUCAAAAUAGACUAUGGCCGUAUCAGCCUUCAAAAUUAUCAAAUUUUGAAUUUGACACAAACCUUUUGACAUCUUUACUGGAGAUGCUCUUAGUUAGUUAUUUGUAUCCUCAAGUUGGAUCUUUGAGGUUCUAUUUAGCCGAUUGGAGAUGGGAUUUAGCACAAAAGUUCUAAAACUUAAUUUAGAAGCCAUCAAUGGGAGAAGGCCCAAGUUUAGAGAGCCCACGUUAUAACCCAUCUCUCUCAUUAUAUAUAACAAAGCGAAACAAAGAACGGGCGCGCGCCAAGAUGUUGUUGGGUAGCCGUUGCGCACUAGUCCCAGUCUCUCUGGGGACUUUUUUCAAACACCUUCCGCGCUCAAAACCCACCCCCAUCUUCCCUUCCAAAACCCUCACCACCACCGCCACAAUCCACUUCGACGCCUUGGAUUCCCGCCAGAAACACCAAAUCCAUCUCUACGUCGACACCCUUCUCGAUUGGAACCAGGUCUCUCUCUCUCACUCUCUUACACCAAUCCUCCAUUUAUUUUUGAGCUUAAAAUUGAUUAAUGUUGUUAACUUGUUAUCAUCUUUGCAGAGAAUGAACCUGACCGCAGUUCGAGAAGCCGGUGAGGUAAUGGAGAGGCAUAUUGACGAUUCGCUCGCGAUCAUACCGCCCAUAACAGACUCUUAUCUCUCUAAUUGCGGUGCUUCAUUUGGAAAUCUCAGUCUCAUUGAUGUCGGUAGCGGCGCAGGACUGCCCGGCUUGGUCUUGGCCAUUGCUUGCCCCGGUAAUAUAUAUAUUCGCUACAAGUUUCAUAUGUUUUAUAUUUGGGGUGGUUUGAAUUAAAUUACUUGAUGCUGGAUUGGUGGUGUAGAUUGGAAAGUGACCCUGAUGGAGUCGAUGAGCAAACGAUGUGUGUUUUUGGAGCAUGCUGUUAAUCAUGUUGGUUUGUCAAAUGUGGAGAUUGUAAGAGGAAGAGCAGAGGUAGUGUUUCUGUGGAAGUUUUAAUAUUUGUGGUCGCACAAACACGUACAGGUAGAAAUUGGUUGGCAUUAAACUAAGUGUGUCGAAUUUUGCUAUAGGACAGAACUUGGGUCAGGAUGUUUGCUUCAGGGAGAAAUAUGAUGUAGCGGUAGCCAGAGCGGUUGCGGAGAUGAGAAUUUUAGGUGGGAAUGAAAAGCUCUUUGUCAUGAUUUGUUGAAAAGACUCGUUCUUUACAUUGAGUUGUUGAUUUUUAUUACUUUGGUGGUCAGCGGAAUACUGUCUUCCUCUGGUUCGCGUUGGUGGCUUGUUUGUGGCUGCAAAGGGUCAUGAUCCUCAGGUAUGUAUUUGGUUCUGCAUACAUCAACCGAUCAUGUAGCCUCACUAAAGAGCAAAAUAUUCCGGAUAUGAAAGAAUGGCAUAGUGACAAGUUCCUUUUCUUGGUUUGUCUUUGAGAUUCCCUAUCACAUGAAGAUUUUUGUACAUUUGCAAGUCUUACCUAUUAACCAGUUCUUUCUGAAGUUGUUCUUUCUGAAGUUUGAUUAUAGAAUUCCAUGAAUGAGGAACCUAGCUAUUUAUCAGUAGUAUAUGCAAAAUGCCGUUUAAAUUGUUUAACAAUCUUGCUUGUGCAUGUUGUUUGGACCUUUAAAUACUCUGGCAACUGUCCAUUUUUUCUUGAACUAAGUUUCUAGAUAUGAACUAUUAAUCAAUCGGUAUGUUGUACAUUUGAACAGAUGGAAGUAAAGAAUGCAGAAAAAGCCAUUCAAAUAUUGGGUGCUUCCAUACGACAACUAUGCCCAGGUAUGUCUUAUUUCCAAUUUGAUAGAAAAUCAACCACUCAAGUGUAUGAUGGACAUAGCUAAAUUAAUUCUUUUGAUGCAACCCCUGUCUGUACCCAGUGGAAUCUCACAGCCCGUAUGGACAAAGAACGGCCAUUGUAUGCCUGAAAACCAGUCCCACCCCAAAGAAGUACCCUCGUGAUCCAGGUACCCCGGUAAAAGUACCACUAUGAAUAGUUCAUAUAUAUGGCCAUUUUGAAUGUAAUAUUUAGUUCACCUGCCAUUCCCUGUCAACCCCUCUUAAAUUUUCUAUGUAACAACUUCACUUUAGAAAUAAAAACACUGUUCUUAACAAAAUUUUCUUCUGGUCUACUAUUGUCCAUUGUAAUUGAUGUUACUAUUGUCCAUUGUAAUUGAUGUGCAGUCUGAUGAGCCAUGCGCUUGUUCUUCUUUGACUGUUUCUGGUGUUGUUAGUUGAGGAAUUUCUGCGAAUAAGUAUGCAUUGUCUAACCAAGAAAACUCGUGAAAUCCCCUUUGGCUUAUCUAGACCUAAGUAGCUAACAGUUUCACUCACAAGAUUUUGGAUAGUUGAAAUUUUUUUAGUAAAAGACAAGUGAUGCAGUCCAUGUACAGAGUGAUUAUACAGAAGAAAUGAAUUCCUAUAGGGUUAGGCAUAUCUUUUGAAAAUGUAAAAACCUAAAAACUCAUUAUUGAAGUAAAACUUGGGAGAAUACUCCAACAGCAGUAAAUACUUUUAAUUAAUAUAUUCACCAUAAAUUAGUUUAAUGUAUUUUUCCGUGAAUGAUCGAUGCUGCUUUGUGUGGAAAACUGGAAAUUCAUAUGAUCUGUACUGCGAGAAGAAAAUUUGAGUUGUGAUGCACCUUUUAAAGAGUAAAACUAAACAGUGGAGGCAACAUACAGCUUCAGAGACUGAACAAAUAUUAUGAUGAUAUAGUAAGGUGAAAUAGGCGAUCAAGAACAAGUAAAUAGGAGUGUGGACUAAUGUUGACUAAUCAGGUCAUCUUAUGCCUAACUAGUGAGUCAGCGAGUGUUAUAACUAAUAAUAUGCAGAAGUGGUCUACGAGUUGCUGGUUUCCUACCAAUAAGUUACUGCUAGCUGAUUCAUUAAGACACCUCAUUUAGAGGCAAUUUUGCCUACAUUUGCCAAAUUGUACCCUCUCCUUUGAGUCAAUCUAUGUUUUUCAUUCGCACCUCUCUCUCCCUGUUGGUCUAUGGAAGCAAAUUGGACAUCAUCAUGGUUCCGAGACGCACUUUAGUGUUAUGCUUCAGCUUUGGCCAACACCAUCUUCUCCUUUUGAUCUGAAACUUUGAGGGAUUAAAGUCGCUUUUUUGGAGUACUGACAACAGGAAAAAGUUGAGGACUGGAAGUUUUUGUUAAUCUGCACAUCAAACUGAGUUAACUUAGGUUUUACCUGCUAAAGCACUGUUGUUCGGAGGCUAUCUUGCUCAGUGUGGACACUGAGUAGACAGGUGUACCCAUGAUUAUCCAAGUUAGAUCAUUCUAAGAUUUCUUUAAUAGGAUAAUAAUCUCAGAAAGCUUGGUAGUAAAGUAAAUCUCAUAUCAUAUUAUAUUUCCUUCUUUUGGGUCAACGACGUUGUUUGCUUGAUAGCUAGGAAUUGGAUUUGAGACAAAGAGCAAUGAAUUAGGUUAAAAUUCUGGUGUGCUGUUUAGGAACUAAAAUGACUGUUACCUAACUUCUCCACUUGUGAUAAUACAUUUUACAGGUCAAAGUUGGAACCUUAUAUGAAGUUAUUAAGUGAUUACUUCUUUAUUAGACUUGGUGAUUACUGAUUUUUGCACCCUUCAUUAUAUGAUUAGAGUUUCUGCUUUGUAUUUCUCAGCUUUGAAUGGAUCCUGCUUAAUUUGGCAUACCUACCUGCUGCUUUAUUGUGAAUGGUAGAUAUAUCUAUAGAUAUAUCUUGCUUUUAUUGCCUGAAAGAAACCGAACUUGGAGCGAAAGCUAUAUAUAUACAUACACACACACACAGUUCCCUUACAGAGCGGGACACGACUUUGAAAUUAAAGUGUGGUGCUCCUCAUUUUGCUCUUGAAGGGAACUGUAUAUAUAUGUGUGUGUGUGUGUGUGUGUGUGUGUGUGUAUUGAGAUUUUGGACAGUGGAAGGUAAGAUUAGUAAGAGAAUGAGUGUGAGUUUCACUAAUGACUGACCUUUUUAUGCACUCUCUCGGUCUUUUUGGGUUGCGCCCCACAAUCCAACCAAUCCUUGCCAAAAAUGUAAGUAGUGACACUCCAUUGGCCACUGUAUCACAUAUUUAAAUCCAUUCCAGCCAAUCCUGCUUGGGCACACACCACACUACUGUUAAGAAAGAGAGAACCAUAUGUAUCAUAUGUGAUAUUAUUUAUUUCUUAUUGUCAUUUCCCACUUUUAAGAAAUUUCUUCCCGUUUUGUGAAGUUCUCUUCCAUUCUUUAAUAUUUGAUGUCUUGCCUUUUAGUUUGGAUUUCUGUGAGCUUUCUUUGCUUUUAUUCAUAAUUAUUUUAAUAUUUCUAUCUUCUCCUUAGGUUUGCUAUGUUCUAGCUCAUCUGCAUAUUUGUUUAUCAAGUUUAUGAUCCUUUUGGAGAAAGCACAGUAUCAUAAAAUUUGAAAUAAGAACAGAUACAGAUGGUUUAGAAAUUAUUGUUCUUAUUAUAUGAUAGCCCUACAUGAUUCUUCCAUCAUACUUCCAUUUCCUCAACAAUAUCUCACCCUCUAAGAUCACACAGUCGCAUGAAUCAUACACUUCAUAUCUCUUAUGCAGGCAUUUCUAACCUAACCCAGGUGACUAAUAAUAGAGAAAAGGGAAACUAACAUAACACAAUAGAAGAGAAAGCAGAAAAACAAGAUCUCCUCUCAAUAGGCAAGACUUAGCUGAAGAUUAGAACAAGUAGAAGAGAAAGAGUCUUCUACUGACAAGGAACAAAGACCUGCCAAACCUUGAUGUCACAGUCCAAACCUCCGCUGUAAAUGAGAUAACUAGAUGUGUCAGAUGUGGUGCACUGGUCAACUGUAGCAGUUAAACACUUGACUGGACCUUUAUGCCCUUCUAACAUAGCCAAGCAUGAAUAACUUCUAGCAACCCCUCUCCAGAUUCUUAUGGUUUGGUCUGCAGAACCACUACACACCAAGUCUGACACCACUGCUAAGCAUAAUAUUGAUUUGGUAUGACCUCUUAGCGCACCCACAACACCCAUGUUACCCUCACUAUCUAUCUUCUCCCAAACAACAAUGGACCUGUCACAUGCACCAGAGUACAAUACACAACCAUCACUGCUCAGAGCAAGUGCAUUGACCCCAGAAUUGUGCUUCUCUAAUGUAGCAAUUAGAGAAUGUUUCUUUUCUCCUAACUCUUUCUUCCACACCUUAAUUUUUUAUCUGCUGAACCAGUAUAAACAUGUCCAUCCUCCAAUGACACUGCCACUGCAUUUAUAGCAUCAUCAUGUGCAUUUCUCACUGACUCCAAGCAUUUGAAGUCUGUUGUGCUCCAUACUUUGAGCGUUCGAUCCCAUGAAACAGAAUAGAGAAGUGACUCAUCCCUUGAUAAGGCCAGUGCAGAGACUGUGUCCACAUGAUGGAUCCAAGUGCACUUCUUGUGCCUUCUUAUUUGUACCUGGUGCUUCGGCAUCAGAAGCUUAGCAGCGCGGUCACCAAGAGUUGGCAACGUGGCUAAGCGCGAGUACCUUAGGUGGUCAGGUUCAUUGUUUUCGAUUUUCCAGACUCGGAUUUUGUGAUCUUGAUGAGCACUGAAGAUCUUGUCACCUGAAAUUGCUAGGGACUUCACUGCUCCCUUUCCAGCAGACACCAUGCAAUGAUCAGCACUCAAGUUUUCGUUAUUGGACUCGACGUAAGGGUUGCACUUCCACGACCGGAUUUCUCUGUCGGAAGAGCCGGUAUAGAUGAAGUUUCCAGACAUGGUGAGAGAGGAUAUGUAGGAGUUGUGGCCUUGCAAAGUGGUGAGGCAGUGGUGAUAGGUGGGCUGAUUUUCUUGGUUGUGGGAUUGUGAGGUCAGGGAAGGAACUGACUGGAGGCUUGGCACAGAAGUAAGGUAAUGAUCUGAUUGAUCACCAUGAAGAUGACUUGUCUGAGAUUGAAAAUCAUUGUUUGAGUACGGAUAGGACUGGUGGUAUUCCAUGGUUCAUGCUAGAGAAGAAGAGUGGGAGAAGAAAGUGAGGUGUUUAUUAUUAUAUAGAGAGAAGGAGUGAGGAUAUAUAGCUAAAUAUUUAGGAGGCCUAUUUAAAGCUAAAACAUAUAUGAAAAUAGAUACUACACUCUUGGCAAAAAGUGAUGAAGCAAUAUUGGGCCAAUAAAAUUAGGUGGGUGGAGCAUAGGAAUUGGUUGUUCUGCACUUCAAUUGGGAUCAUGAUCUUAUCAAAUGCUCUGCAUUACUUCUCUUUACUGAUCUAAAACUCAGGGAGCAAGGGACAGAAUCAAAUGGUUUUGUAUAGAAUUUGGAUAUUUAAAAGAACAGAAAUAAUAUAGUGAAGGGUUUGACUGAUAAGUUUUGUCCAUAUCAUGGAGCUAAGCAACCUGACCCAGUGACCCUCCACUAGAAAUAUAUUUAACUCCCAGUUUUGGUGGAGAAAUUAAGCUAUAGCUAUACUCCUCCAACCACAACCUUCCACCACAAGUUUGGCUAAAAACAAAACUUAGGCUCCAAAUCUUGCUCAAGGCUGUGAAGGUGAACCAAGCCACCUACUUCACAAGCAUGAUACAAGUAAGCUUGUAUAUGUGAUUUGAAGGAACAUGCUGAUUAGUCUUUCUCUAACAAAGGACCUGUAGAAGAGAAAUGAGGCGAGGAAGUUUAUGAAUUCGAAGCUAGGCAUAGUAGUCCCAUGCAUGUGAGUUCAACUUUAGUUUGGUGCAUAUAAUUUUGACAUGUAUUCUUUCUCUAUUGCUAUGCACGUAGUGUGUCUCACCCAUUUUUGCUACUGGUAUGGUUAUUUUUCCUGGAAUGAGAGAUCAGAGGGCCAAAAGGACCCGUGAUUCGAACCCCUUGGGACCUAUCAAUGAGUGAUAAGUGUUUGUGCUCUCUUAUACCAGUCUCCAUCAUGAUAUACAUAUAUCUUGCAGGUACAAUUUAAUUUUUUUCAUAUUUUUGGCUAAGAAAUUAUAGUCUUUUUGGCUCACGUAAAACGCAGUACUUGACAGUGACUUGCUCUAUGACCUCUAAUGGCAACCCAAAAAGCCUAAUGAAAGACUGAUCGAAAAUGAUGUUUAGUGGAUGCUAAUUGUUCUUGAAUGCAAGUUGCUUUGGUGAUUGAUUGGUCUCUAUUACUUAUGCACUUUAGGUAUAUGGCAAAGAUGAACAAUACUACUUGUUGCUUAACUUCUUUUGAUAUAGUGAUGCCUUCCUAUCUUUGAUUCUUAUCUUAUUUUGGUCCAAAGUAGGGCUAAACCUGUGAAAAAGAGGUAGAUUCUCUAUCUGCAGCUACGAAUUAAGUAGUAUGAACCCAUGAAAAAAUUCAGUGAAUUUAAACAAAUUAUGAACACAAGGUUUGAAAAUAAUGGAGUGGCUGGCAUACUUUUGUAUCCUAACUGGACCAAGGAAUACUGCUUUUGGCUAGUCUUCGCCUUCUGAUGGAUCCAUUUUGUACAAUUUCUUUCUAUAAGUCUCUACUUCAUUCCCCAUAUUACUUGACCAAAAUCGCAUACUUUGUGAAAUUUCGUUAGAUUUUCUUGUUUUAUGUGUCAUUAUAUUGUAUUUGAGAAAUGUAAAAAGAAGCUCUGAAUUGGAAUCAGUGGAAAGUACAGAACCCAAGUGACUUUUAAUUCAUAGUAGUCUAGUCCUCAGAAGUAUGAUUAUUCUCUUCAUUGUCUUCAAUGCAUAAUGAAACAAGCUGUUGUCUUUUCAUUUCUAGAUCGCACCCCGAUUUGUAUGACAUAUUAACUGGUUUUGAACCUAUGAGUCAUCCCUUCUGCUCUAUAAGGUAGAAUGUUUUUUACCUAUGCCAUAUAGUACUGUAUAGGUAGAAAAAGAAGAACUCAUAAGUAUGCCAUACUAAACCCUUUCAGUUCCAGGUAUAAUCCAUCAUUGUAUGUGAUGUUAACUAUAGCAGUUAUACAAUACUCAACCUACUUUUGGUGGGAUUGAAGGGAAGGACAGCUUUCCUCUCAAGGAAAUGAAAUCUAUUAUGGUGAUGAAAGCAACAAUAUCAAAGUGGAAUGUUUAUUCAUAUCUCAGUAAAGCCUUACCCACCUCCUUUUGUUCCAGCUUUUAAUUGCAUGAUAAUACAUGAUGCUUCCUGAAAAUAUGUAAUGGGGUCUGUCUUCCCACCACUGAACUUAUAACCAGAAACAUAGCACUAGUACAAAACCCAACUUAGAGCUACACUUGCCAUAUUUGUCUGUUGGUCUCAAGCAUAUCAUGGCAUUAUUGCCUAUAGGGUCAGCAACCAUCAAUGGCUGCUCUGCAUCUGACAUAUGUAAAGACCUAUAGACGCCUCAUUCUGCCAUUUGUUAUAUUGGAGGGAAAUCGAACUCCUAAGAGCAACUUCGAUGGAGUAGUCCAUUAGAUGGUGUCAACUCCAAUAGUAACCUUGCCUAAUCCUAACCUCAUUUCACCCUCACUACUUGGGUUAACCCUUAAUCCUAACAAAUCGUAAAUUUUUUGUUAUUAUGUAAUGGUGGUUCUAGUUGGACACUGUUAAAAAAUUGAUCUUCAUCUCGAUGCCCUUUGUCGAUCCAAGACAACAGACAGAGGCCGCAAUCCGACAAAGUCCGUUUCCAUAGGCCCAUAAUCCUCGUCUCGAUUGUUCUGUGUUCUAUGUCGGUUUUGUUUUCGAUCGUAGUUUUUCAACUUAGUUCAAAGACUUCAUGAAAUACUGAAUACUCUACUAGUUCAGCCGACAAAUGGAUUAUGUUAAUGAUAAAACUAAUGAUGAAAAGAAGGAGAUGGGCAGGCUUGUUUAACUUUUUUUUUUUUUUUUUUUUUUUUCUGAUUGAAUUGUGUAUCUUAUUUUAAAAAACCAAAGACACCCAUUUAAAAAUAAAAUGAAUAACACUGUGAUCGAGUAAGAACUUAGGUGUGACAUGUAUCUAGGUUGAAAUGAUUUAAGUCUCAAGCUGUUUUUGGUGGUUAGAGGAGCAUGAUCAUCUAACAGAAAAACCGUUCUGACAUGAACCUCUGACAACAACGAAUCAAGCCUAAAAAUUUAAACCUCAAUCUAGCAUCAUCCUCCCACACAUAUUAACCUCCGAUAUAUAUAUUUUUGAUGGUCUGCAGGCCGGCUUAACCUCCGGCGUUGAUUAGGUUUUGAAAACCUAAAGAAAAAAUUAAUCGAGUCAAAUCAAAACAAAAGAGAAAAAAAUGAAAAUAAAAACAAAAAGAAAGACCAAAGCGUCGCGCGCCUCUCUUCAGGUCCCUAUCACCGGUCGGCCUUGAAUUUUGUCUCGUCCUUCUUCUUAUUCCUCUUCUACCUUACUCAACCACCAUGAUCCUCAGCUUUUGCUCACUCGACCUCUCUCAUGGCUUCCGCCACUUCUCCCGCCAUUUCUACCGUUACCAUCUUCACACUCUUCUUCUUCUUCACCUUGUGCGUCCUCUCCUCCUCAUCACCAUCCACCAUCGGUGUCGGCUACAUUUCGAACGUUCUAGAACUUCAGGACCGCGAGAGGGCCCCGCCCUAUGUCCAAGUCGCCGCCGCUCGCGGAGUCCUCCACCGCCUUCUUCCUUCCCACUCCUCCAGCUUCGACUUCCAAAUCGUCUCGAAGGUCUUUCAGUUUCUUCUAUUUGUAUUUCAUUUCUAACUUUUAUUUUCUUCCAAGUUUAAUUUAUUUAUUUAUUGUGAUUUAGGAAAGGUUUAAUCUUUAUGUUAGUGAAUGUGAAUUUCAUACGUACAUGAUGCUUUUGUAUGAUUUUAUAAUGUAAAUAGCUGCAUGUGUAUUUUCUUUUAUAUGCAAAGCCAUAUAUUUGGAAGUUGGUUAUGAAUCUUAUGAUGCUUCUAGUUCCCUAUUGAGAAUUGCACAAACUCAAGACUGUUCCUAUUGGACUUGCAGGAGCAAUGUGGUGGUGCUUCCUGUUUUAUGAUUAAGAACCAUCCUUCUUUUCGUAGACGAGGAAUCGAUCCACAGAUUCUGUAUGUAGUCAUCUUCUUUCUCUAACUCCUUGUGAAACUACAGUACUACACUAUACUACACUAUGUGUGACUGUGGGAAAUUGGGGAUACAUGAAAGUUUCAAUUCAAUGAAAAUUUGUACUUGAUCAAAUGGUACCAUUGAAGUGUUAUUAAUUUACAUUCAUGUGACUUUCAAAUCAAUGCUUGAACUAGGAUUUCCGGAGUCACUGGAGUGGAGAUUUUGGCUGGUCUGCACUGGUAUUUGAAGAAUUGGUGCGGCUCACAUAUAUCUUGGGAUAAAACUGGCGGUGCGCAACUAUUUUCAGUCCCAAAAGCAGGUUUACUCUCUUGUGUAGGAGAUGGUGGCAUUUUAGUCCAGAGACCUGUUCCUUGGAACUAUUACCAGAAUGCUGUUACAUCUAGCUGUAAGCUGCUACUUUAUAUUUGUGUUUACUUCUCCACAGUGUCUCUUACAUAGAAGCUAGUAUUGUAAAACUUUUUUUGAGCUGUGGAUUUGAUUCUUAGAGUUGUUCUUUUGUGAAUUGCUAAUGAUACUUCGUUUUCUGAUUCUAAAGAUUCUUUGGCCUGGUGGGACUGGAUUAGAUGGGAAAAGGAGAUUGAUAUGAUGGCCCUCCAGGGUAUCAAUUUGCCAUUAGCAUUUACAGGUCAAGAGGCUAUAUGGCAGAAAGUUUUCCAGGUGCUUUUCAUUGCUGCCUAUAAUUUUCCUUGUUAGUACUGGAGCAUUGCUGUACCAACCAAUGGUUGUUUGUUUAUACUAAUAACGUGUUAUUUCUCCUCUACCAGAAAUUUAACAUAAGCAAAUCAGAUUUGGAUGAUUUCUUUGGAGGCCCUGCAUUCCUUUCAUGGUCUCGAAUGGGAAAUCUGCACGGGUGAGUUUGCUUAUCUUGCUUAAAGGAUAGUUGUUUUGCAAUAUUUUCUGACUGAUAACAAUUGUAGUAUCUUGAUGAUAUGUGAUAAUUUUCUGCAGAUGGGGUGGACCUCUCCCACAAAGUUGGCUUGAUCAACAGCUGAUUCUGCAGAAAAGAAUUCUUGACAGAAUGUAUGAACUUGGAAUGACUCCAGGUACUAAACUUCUAAUAUUUUAGCUGGAUUAAGAGGGAAGAAAAUGGAUCACAUGUUUUUGGCCUUGUAUAGUUGUAGCACAUCAAUUUGCUGAAUUCAAUUCUAUGAUUUGUAACUACUGCAAAAUUUUAUUUUGAAACUUGAAAGGGAAAAAAAGGAUAUCAAUUUAAGUAAAUUUCUAAGAAAGUGUGGGGUUAAUAACCUGAUGUAUGUAUUUCUGCUCCUCAGUUCUUCCAGCAUUUUCCGGGAAUGUUCCAGCAGCACUCAAAACUAUAUAUCCAGCAGCAAAGAUAACACAGUUAGGAAACUGGUAAGUGCUGCUCCAUGCGGAUCACUUUCCGCCAAAUUUCAUUGGCAAUCUCAUGCUUUAUUAUUUUUAAUUUCCAUAUUCCACACUUGUCUCAGUUGAAUUCCUUAAUACUAACUGAAUAUGUAGGUUUCUGUACAUCUUGAAUAUUUCCAAUAUGGCUUCAGGUUUUCUGUUAAGAGUGACCCUAGAUGGACGUGCACUUACCUUCUUGAUGCAACUGAUCCCUUAUUUGUUGAAAUUGGGAAAACAUUCAUUGAGGAACAACUAAAAGGUUGGUCACAUGAAUCAUUUGCCCUCCUGCAUUAUGUUAUUUCAUGCAAGACUUGUGAGAAAAUUCAGUUCUUAUUCUUUUCAUUGUUGUAUUACUUGUUUGAUCAGAAUACGGAAGGACAAGUCACAUAUACAACUGGUAUACAGCUUCCUGCAUUUCUUCUAUUAUAGCUUGUUCUUCCAUUGUUUUUGCCCUCAACAUGUGGUUAUUGUGAUAUUUAAUGUUUGUUAAGCUGGUUACUGAACCUGUUGCAGUGAUACUUUCGAUGAGAAUACUCCACCCGUUGAUGAUCCAGAGUACAUCUCUGCAUUAGGUAAAACAAUAUUUAAGGGACUGCAAAGUGGAGAUAAGGACGGGGUCUGGCUAAUGCAGGUAAAACGAAUGAUUUGAUUUGAGUCUUACCAUACUCCUAGCAUCUCUUUUAUGAAAUGUAGCUAGUUAUAUUGACGGCCGAUUUUCAAACAGUAACCAUGCCUUCUUAUCUGUGUUUGUCUAGAAAUUAGCAAACAAUAUUUGAGCCAUUUUCAUUUUGAUCAAAUAUUUCAUUUAUUUACCCACCGUAAUUUAGACUUCUUGUUUUCAUCUUCUGAUUACUUCCUUAUGUGUUAGUUACUUGCAGUGUUACUUGCUGGAAAGUCACUAGACUUUACUAUGUUUUGGUUUACAGUAUACUGACGAGUAUAAUUCUGCAGGGGUGGUUAUUUUCAUAUGAUCCAUUCUGGAGGCCUGCACAAAUGAAGGUUAUACUUACAAUUUUUGUUUUUGUUGGGUAUCUUGUUCCCUUUCAUUUAUGUGUUGUCAUUAACAAGGAAACAUGCUUGUUUCCAGGCACUUUUACAUUCUGUUCCUGCAGGGAGGAUGGUAGUCCUUGAUCUGUUUGCUGAAGUGAAACCAAUUUGGACUACUUCAGAGCAGUUCUAUGGUGUUCCUUACAUCUGGAAAGUCAUUGCUCCUUUUCUUGAUUGGGAAUUAGCAUUUGUAUAGUGAUAGAAACCAUAUCCAUGACUGCUAACAUAAAAUUUAAACACCAAAUGGCACAACAUAUAUAUGCUCUUCUCUGUUCAUCUUUGGUAGAUCCUUAUUUACUUAGUUUGGUAUUCAUUACAGGUGUAUGCUGCACAACUUUGCAGGAAACGUUGAGAUGUACGGCGUUUUGGAUGCAAUAGCAUCCGGACCAAUUGAUGCUUGGACAAGUGAAAACUCAACCAUGGUAAUUGUUAAAUUUUCCCAUGCACCUAUUAUUAAAAGUGAAAUGUAAUCCCCCUUGGCCAUGGUUGAGGGUUCCAGUAAUAAAUCAUACUCAUACCUUCAAUUCUUUCCAACUAGAAAGUAAAGAAGUCGAUAAAGAGAACGAAAUCUAAUUUAAAUUGCGUCUUAAAUAUUCCACUAGUCCUCCUUUUCUCAUGUUAGAACUUCAUUUGAAUAUAUAUUCCUUACUGUUUCUAUUACUCUCUGAAGGUUGGGGUUGGAAUGUCAAUGGAAGGUAUAGAACAGAAUCCUGUUGUUUAUGAUCUAAUGUCUGAGAUGGCUUUUCAGCAGAACAAAGUUGAUGUUAAGGUAAGCUUUACUCAUUUCCUAAUCCUUUGAUACCUACCAGUCCUACCACUCUCCAUUUCAAUUGAGAACAUUAUUCACUCGUUUCUGCUAUUUCAGGACUGGAUUAAUCUGUACUCAACGAGACGUUAUGGUCGUGCAGUUCCUUUAGUGCAAGACGCCUGGAGUAUAUUGCGUCAUACCACCUAUAAUUGCACUGAUGGUGCCUACGUAAGUGACUAAGUGGCCUGGCCUAUAUAGAUUCCAUUUUCUUUUUUUCUUUGUUCUUUAAUACUGUAGAAUUGUGUCUUCUCCAUUCUCAAUUUGAAGAGGGCCUUAAGGUCUUUGAACUCUUCAACUUUGCAAGAUUGCACGGCUGGAUCUUGUUCCAAAAAGCAUGCAUACACUGUAAAACCGUAGUUCUUAUACCCUCAGUAUUGGUUGUGCGUUAGUCCCAGCUAUAAGAAUGUCAUUUCAUACCUCUGUGCUAGAUUUUGAUAUCCUUAAUUGGUUGAGAACAGGACAAAAAUAGGGAUGUGAUUGUGGCAUUUCCGGAUGUUGAUCCAUCCUUUAUAGCAAGACCGCCUCAAGGUUAUUACCAAAAUGAGAAAUCAUUAGUGUCAAGAAGAGCAGAACUCCUGGAGGAAGUAACUGAUUCAUUCGAGCGACCUCAUUUAUGGUAUUCGACUUCUGAAGUAGUACAUGCAUUAGAACUUUUCAUUGCAAGUGGAGAUGAACUCUCAGGAAGCAACACUUACAGGUUAGCCCUUUCAACUUUGGAAUUUAACCUGCCAACGUUGGCUAUAUACACAACUACCUUCAGUAGUUUGUAACUAAAUCAACUUGUCACAUAUAAAUGUACUCAGGUAUGACCUUGUAGACCUGACAAGACAAGCUUUAGCCAAGUAUGCAAAUGAGCUGUUUCUGAAGGUCAUAGAAGCCUAUCAUUUAAAUGAUACCCUUGAAGUAGUUGGCCUCAGCCAGAAGUUUUUGGAACUGGUUGAAGACAUGGACACACUCUUAGCAUGCCAUGAUGGAUUUCUUCUAGGACCGUGGUUGGAAAGCGCAAAGAAACUUGCCCAAGACAAAGAGCAGGAAAUACAGGUUUGGAUCCCAUCGAACUAUAUAUAAAUCAUCAUUCAUCAAACCGAUCAUAUAUACUUAUGUUAACCUGGAAAAAUGAAAAAUUAAUGCAGUUUGAAUGGAAUGCUAGAACUCAAAUAACUAUGUGGUUCGACAACACAGAAGAGGAGGCAAGUCUUCUUCGCGACUACGGUAUGAGAAUUCGGUGAUCCCUUCACAAGAACUCACAUCCUAUACACAAUAAAAAUAUACUGAAAAUCUGUUGUUGGUCUUUUCUAUUUCCCGGUGUUACUAGGAAACAAGUACUGGAGCGGGCUUCUGCGAGACUACUAUGGUCCCCGAGCAGCCAUAUACUUCAAGUACCUGAUAAAAAGCUUGGACGAGGGUAGUGAUUUUGACUUGAAGAACUGGAGGAGGGAGUGGAUCAAGCUCACAAAUGACUGGCAAAGCAGCCGGAACACAUUCCCGGUGAAAAGCACCGGAAAUGCGGUGACUACUUCUCGGUUGCUUUUCGAAAAGUACUUACGAAGCGCUGACAUAGAAUCACCGGAUGAAGCUGCUAUUAUGCAAUAGCCUUUUGAUCGAUCGAGAAAACCUCUUUACUGUACUCCUUGUAAUAAGAAGAGUUUGUAGUUUGAUUAAAUAGUCAAAUGUGGAUUAAAGAAAGGUACUGAUGCUCACGCAUGCAAGCAAGGCAUAAUUAAUUGUGAGUUAUAUUAUAUAUGUGUAAGAGCCGCAUGUUUCAGAUGGUUUCGUUUUCAGAGUUUGGUCGUUUUCAUGCCAGAAAAUGGAGCUCUGGUUUUGACUAACGGGAAUAUACCGGAGCAUGAUGAGAAAUUUCGAGGAGCCGCCAAGAAUAAUUGGACUUCAAUUAUAUUGGUGGACGGCCGGUGUGUGAUAGUUUAAUGUCAUAUCGGUCAAAAAGUCUUGUUCUCGAUGAAUCCAGAAGCUGUGGAAAUCUCACACGCUUAGCUUUACAGUUUCGACUAUAAUUGUGCCCUUCAAACUUGGGAUGUCUUACUUGGGAGUUAGGUAAUUGAUCAAUAACUACUAAUCUCUGAUCGAUCUAAACGAUUCCCUUGUUGAUUCAUGGGAAAAAAAAUAUUAAUAACAAUUAGAAACUCAUUAUACGUUGAUUUGAACAAGAAUGAGUUAGACGUUGGCCAUACACUUUAAAAUUUAGAAUCGAUGAAUAUGACGUGUUGGCAUGGUAAGUUGAUUUGAACCCAUAAGCUCAACGUUAUUUGAUUUUCCAUUAUGCUAUCAAGCUACAAUUCAUCAUCAUUAAAACCAAUAAAUCACAAAUUAAAUCGACAAGGAUUUCUCUAAAAUAUGACUUGUUUACUUAGCUAACCGAUUAAAUCAUAUGAAUAGGUACAAUGUUCUUCAAAGUUACUAAUUAAAAGAGUUGUGGACAGUUUGAUAUAGCAAAUGAAAGGGGUAUUUGGGCAGAAAUUCAGAUAUGCACGAUAUGUAAGUAUAUGAUAUAAUCUUAUCUAUUCAUAACGAUAUAUAUUUGAAGACGAUCAUGUAUCUGUAUUAUGUUAUUUAAUCUUACGGAUAUAUGUAGGUAAGAAUAAGAUACACUGUCUAAGGAAAACACGACGAAUGAAAUUGUUGACAUAUGUAUAUUAAUAUAUAUCCACCACUCACACCUGGACACGUAUCACCAUAACUAUUUUUCUUCUUUUGUUUUGAGAAAACAAAUAUAUUUCCUUAUUAUCACAUAUAUUUUCCACGUAUCUAUCCAAAUUCAAAGACGGUUAAAAGUUUGCUGAGGUUGGACCAACUACUAUAAAACCCUUUCCCGUUUCUCUCCUCUGUUGUAAAAUCCAUAUCGUCGUCGUCAUCAAACCGCUCCCCCUUUCUCUCUCUACCUCUCUAGAUCUCCCAUUCUCCUUUCAUCUCUCACAAUGGAUCACGGAGACAAGAAGCAGUCGAGUACCUACGGCGAGACGACGUCGUGGGCAGACCAGUGGGACUACACCAACAACAACUCGUCGUACCCGAUGGACGUCAAACACGGCGAGCAAGGAACCGCCGCCAAGUGCAAGCAGAAGGUCGGAGAAGGCCUCGUGAAGACCAAGGCCGUCGCCUCCACCGGAGCCAAGAAGGUCAAGGACGGCGCCUCCUCCGGUUUCCAGUGGAUCAAGGACAAGUAUCAUAAGACCACUCACAAACGCUGAUCCAGUAAAAUCAUGCACACCGGUCUUAAUUUUCUUCCAUCUUCUUAGUUCUCUUAUCAUUAUUAUUCACAGACACAGAGAUUGUUGUUUGUUUAGUUUCGUUCGUUUUUUGUUGCGAUGAUGAUUUUCUUGCUGUUCUGGAUUGGAAUUUGUUGAUUGAUUCGUAUCGACGUUGGCUCUGAUGCAUGUACAGAUCAAUAAUACGACUUAUUCUUAGAUUGAUGAAUGGUGAUGAUGAAUCUGUUUUUGGAUUUGGUACUCGACGCGUGAUACAUUUGGUGGUUUUAUUAUUUAGUCAUCGAGUCUCUUUCGCCAUUUUUGCCAAGAAACACGCAUGUAUAAAAGUUUCAUUGACCAAAACUAUAAAGACAGACAAAUCAUCAAAUACACAUGAGUACAACUCCUUACCUAGGCAUGGUGUCAUUUCUCUUUAUUUUAGUUGAAGUGGUCUAUCCCAUCGAAUUACGAAUAGACAGAAAAUGUUGUUUUUCUUUUUUACGUUAGAAAAUGAUGUUAGAAUUUUAUCUCAGAAGUGUCAAGGCUCAAGAGACCUUGCUAUGCACAUGGAUUCUGAUGGAGAAAAAUGUUGUCGAGUCUAUUUGGCCAAUGGGGAAUUUGGUAAGCCAAUUUUUUGCCCAAAUUUGUGUAUCCCAUGAUGGACAACAAAGAACAUUAAUCACUUGAAGCUGAGACGUUGUAGGACACAUCGAUGAUCGCUGGUUUAGCUGUGACAUGUGUUUCGUUGUGGAGAAAAAUAUAGGUCCGGUUCGAGUACGUCCACAUCUCCUAUCAGAAUCGAAGUCUGAAAAAGGCUUGGUUUUUCGUUUUUCGAAUGACAUUUCUCUUUCGAUUUGAGAUGAGACUUCCGCUCAAUCAUUUCUGGCACCUAUUCUUAUCCUGCUGUGACCAUAGGGAAGCAAUGGAUGCAACACUAUCAAGGGCUUAAUUAUAAGCAUGGAAGCCAAUAGCUCUGAUGUGUGUGUGUGGNNNNNNNNNNNNNNNNNNNNGGGGGGGGAACCGAGAACAGCCAGCUAACUAAUGACGGCAUGUCUUGUCCAAAACAAAAAAAACAAACUGAUUACAGCAUAUGGUGAGAAACUGAAAAACACGCACGCACAAGGAUUUGUGAUCCCUUUUUUUUUUAAACGGGAUUCGUGAUCUUAUUAAUGGUUUGCAAAUGAAACCUAGCUAGCAUGUAUUGAAUCGGUGCUCUCCUCGCUUAGGAGGCCAUGGAUUUCUUUACCACAUCAUUGUCCGCAGUAACAAACAAUUUGUUUGGUCACGCUGCGGUUUGUACCUUGGCCUCCAUAGCCUGCUUGCCUUUAUAGAGUUCAGAAUGUAUGCCAUCAUCCUUUGAUAUACAUAGAGAAUUACUGUCCUUUCGACUUUUGAUUUUGAUAAAAGUGGAUGAUCUUGGUGCAGUUUUAGGGAAUUUCACAGCAGGUGGAUUGACAUUUCAAGUGAGUUUAAACAGUUCUUCAUUUCCUCGUGAAGAAUUGGAUAUCAAACGAUCAGACAUUCCAAGUGAGUUUUAUUUUGGAGUUGGUACAAGUGCUGCGCAGGUACAUGUUAAAAGUGAUUUUAUAUUUCUAUAUUGUCUUAAAUCUUUCUCUAGCAAUUAACCAGAAAAAAAUAGAUGUGCAUAUAUUAAUUUAAUUAAUGUAUGGUGCAGACUGAAGGCUCAGCUAAAGAAGGAGGAAGAGGAUCAAGUAUCUGGGAUCAUUUUGUGGAACAGAACCUAGGUUGCAUCUUCAUUACCUUAACAACCUAUUCAUUCAAAUUUACUAUAUACCAGUUAGCUAAAACACACUGCUGCUCUAUUGACGAACAUGAACUUAUUUUGCUCAUUUCACUUUGUUCAGAAACCGAUAAAGUUCUAAACAGCAGCAGAUUCUCGAUCUGCAUCUAUUGAUGCACAUAAACGAUACAAGGUAAGUAGUGUAUGCAAAGUUUAACCAUCCUACAUAUAUAAUUUUAGUGUUCUGAAUUAUAGUAUCUAUCAUAUAUUUGAUGGAAUAAUGAUUUGCAUAUUAGAAGGAUAUAAAAAUCAUCAAGGACCUUGGAGUUAAUUCUUACCGAUUUUCCAUUUCCUGGAGUAGGAUUUUACCAAGUAAGCUUUUCCUCCUUCUUUCUUGAUUCCACAUUGGCACAUUUUACUCGUACUUCUACACGGUUAAGAAAAUCUUGUUUGAUCUACUCUAAUAAGUAUAAGCAUGAAUUUGAUGUAGACGGGAGCUUAAGCGGCUGUAUUAGUCAAGAGGGUAUUGAUCACUACAACAAUGUGAUCAAUGAAAUAGUCAGAAAUGGUAAGAAUCCAAAGUUUUUAAAUUCAUAAAAUGUUGUUUAGGUGUUUGCUGUGAUGUAUAAAUUUUAUGUAUGUCUCCUAAUGCAGGCAUUGAACCUUUUGUGACACUGUUGCACUUUGACUUGCCACAAGCCUCGGAAGACAAGUACAGAGGCUGCUUAAAUCGUAUGUUUGUGUAAGUCUUGAGCUCCCUAAACUCUAAGCAUUGUUGGAGUGUAAACAUGAUUUGGAAGAUAGAUAAUUUAAUCCAUUUUCGGUAUGUUCUCUCUUUCAGGAAUGAUUUUAAGGACUAUAGUGAACUUUGCUCCAAAGAAUUUGGAGACAGAGUUAGAUAUUGGUUCACAAUAAACGAGCCAACAGUUUCUGUAGUGUAUGCUUAUGAACUUGAGAUUGCCCCACCAGGGAGGUGUUCCUUUAAAGAAGGAUUCUGUGUAUUCGGGGCUCCUCCCCCAGGGCCAUGUCAUGUCAGCACCGGAAAAUGCACACCAGAUGCUAAUUCAUCCGCAGAACCUUAUAUUACAGGCCACAACCUUAUUCUUGCUCACGCGUCCGCGGUUAAGCUAUACAGAUAAAAAUACCAGGCACAACAAAAGGGUGAAAUAGGAGCAGUCCUUGUUGCUCCAUAUUUAAUACCGUAUUCAGAUUCUCCGGAAGAUAUAGCUGCAACAGAAAGAUCUUAUGACUUCAACUUAGGAUGGUUUCUAGAACCAUUUGUGUACGGAGAAUAUCCAAAAAGUAUGAAAGUGGUGGUGAAGGAAAGGCUGCCUAGUUUUUCUGCAGAAGAGAAAAGUUUAAUCAAGGGUAGUUUAGAUUUUGUUGGGAUGAACUACUAUAUAUCAUCUUAUGUUAAAAGUAAGCAGCCAUCUCCUACAGAAGAGCCGCGAUAUACAAUUGAAGUUGCAGCUGAACAGACAAGUAUUACUAUUAAUCACCUACGCAUCACAUCAGAUAUGAAGCAUAUAUUUUAAAAACUUUAAAUAUAUAUUCCUUCAUGUUUCUAAUCUUUUAAGCAUUGCAGGUUUGAGCAAAGAUGGAGUUCAUCUUGGCUCAGUAAGAAAACACGGAUCUUUAUGUAAAUUCUUGCUAUUUUUGUUUCUAUCAAUAGUUAUAUAUCUGCAUACGUACCCCUCAUGCAUCUACUUAUAACAUAUAUAUGAUUUACAUUGCAGGACAAUGGAAAUCGGCCAAAAGGUUGGAGGGACUGAUGGUCUAUAUCAAGGAAAAGUAUCAAAACCCAAAAAUCUAUAUUUCUGAAAAUGGUAUUAUUUCUUAUAUAUACUUCAGCUAAGGCACCAGUUAUCCUAACAUAAGUGUUUGUAUCUCAUCCAUGUUUAUUUCGAUCUUUGUAGGACUUCCUAUGUCCAGGAAGGAUAACUCCUCGCUUUCUGAACGAUUGAAGGACUCGGAUCGAAUCUCCUAUAUUGCUAAACAUUUGUAUAGUCAGUGAGUGAGCAUAUUUACAUUACUAAUAUCAUAACUAAUUUGAUUUAGUGAUAUUCUACUUCUAAACUGGUUAAUGGUUUAUGAUUCUAAUUAUUGCUGAAGGAGUGGAGUAAACAUCAGAGGGUAUUUCUACUGGUCUUUAUUCGAAUGGGGUAUGGGAUUGUUUGAGUCAUUUGGACUUCACUAUGACAAUUUGAAACGUAUCCCCAAACAAUCUGCUGAGUGGUUCCAACGUUUCCUUCAGAGAAAUGAUUGCUAAACUGUAGUUAUAUUUUGCUUCUUGGCAAAUAGUUGUCUUUGUGCUGCAAACUUAAUCCCUCGUAAUAAACUUUCAUAAACUGUCAUUUUUGCUCUUCCAACUCAUGCAUUUAUACCAUAUUAAGUGUAUUCUCUUCCUCUCUUUUUCUGGGAAUAAAUUACAAUCACUGAAAACGACGACUAUACGUUAGGUACAUAGAAGACAGGAAGAGCUGUUCAUGUCCCUAUCAAAGCAUCAGUUAGAGGCUUAUUACUAUCAAUGAUGAACACACCCAAGGAGGCAUAGAUGUUACAGAAGUCGAUACUGCAAGUAUCAAAACAAAUUCCACAAUAUUUUCCACUUAAUACAAGUAGUAGAUUCCUCUUUCACCUUCCCAAGCAUAGUUGUAGGUUUCACAUUGUUAACAAGGCAGCGUUUCGCAAACAUCCUGAUCAACUUUAAUCCCCAAGCUAAGGUUUACAACCCACAUCAGUGACAGAGCAUCCCUGUUCAUUUACAUGCAAACUAGAAAUCGCUACAUGUUCCCAAUCCAUCAAAGGCUGCAGAGCUAGCAAUCAAAAUUAAUGAAUGAACAAAUAUAGAUAUCAAUACUUUAAAUGAGUGGUAAUCCUUACAUCACCAAACAUGGAACAACCACAGUUAGAAAUUAUAUCAUAAUAUCUAAUAAGUACGAAUGAAAAUUUUAAUUACUCAUCACAACUUUAAAAGGGGUACAUGUCUGUUUCUAAUAUGUUUCUUUAGAAUUAACGUUUGUUUCAAAAAAAUAAAAAAUAAAAGUGAACGGACAUGUUUGUUCACUUGGCGUAUUUCUGUAUAAACCAUAUCCAUCUUCUUAGUUGUUGCCCCCAUUCCCAGCUUGUCAAGCAGGUUCUCCAAUCCCUUAAUUGAGGUAUCAAACUCUUCUGAAGAAUAAGUGGAUAUCCAUGUGGUAAAACUACUCUCAUAUUGGAUGAAAAGAGACUUCCUUUAAAAGUGAGGAACUUGACACUCAAAGAUGUUUAGGGUAGGGUGUCACCACAACACUUACAAGCAAAUGCCACAUUUUCCUUGACCACAUAUGGGCUCAUUUGUAUCAAUCAUUUAGAAUAUGAUUGGACAUUUAUGCUAGGUUUUUAAUUAUCUCCAACAUCUCAUACACAAUAUUUGCUUCCAAAUACAAAUAAGUUGCUAAAAUUAUCAAGUGGCAUGGUGCAGUAGUGGUGUGCUGAAAAUAUGUAUGUGAAAGUCAUGCAAGAUGGCAAGCACAAACAGAAUGCAAUUAAGAUGAGAUAGAGAGAAUUGUGUGUACUGAUGUACAUAAGCAACAAAAGGGGAUUAGGUGAACUUUAUAUUUGCUUGUUCUACUAAAGAACGAUUAAUACUUGUACACUUCAAAUUCAAAACACAACAACUCUUAGUGCAUGUUGCUCCUCACAAUACAACAACCCCACCAAAAAUAAAAAAAUAAAGAAAAAAAAUAAGAGGGAGCGCGUAGCCGCUUAGGCGGGCUAGGUGGUUGAUUGGGUGGCACCUAGUCGGCCGCCUAAUUGCCCAUAAUUAACACAAAAGCUUAGGUGAAGGAUGAAGCAUUUUGUUGUCGCUUGGCGUCUAGGCACCGCUUUUUACAACAUUGGUGUUUCCAAAUAUGAAGAGUGUGUGUUGUACUCUUUGUGUCGAUCAAAGUUAUUUUUGUCUUACAAGGUUUUUAUUUACUGGCAAUGUUUUUAAAUAUGCAACAUGAACAACACCGGUUAGGUGUUGAUAUACACAAAAAAGAGUGUUGUAGGAUACCGAAUUUGUAUGUGUUUGGGUUGCUUUAACAUUUAACAUGUAAUCUGAUUGCACAAGGAAAACAACAUUCUAUAAGAUUAUAGGAUUAAUUACAAAGUAGAUUAUGAAUAUGAUUUUGAGUUGUGAAAUUCCUAUAUACAUCAGACAUUUACUUAUGGAUGAAAUAGUAACAUUCGGUCAAGUGGUAAAGUCAAAACAAUUUCAGCUGCAAGAGUGUGUAGAAGUAGAACUCGAUAGGAAAACGUGCUGUAUCAAUCAUAUCCCAAGCCAAACUGAUCACCAAUCAGAGCUGAACUCAACUUCUUCUUCAUCAAUAAAAGAGAGUCGAACUAACAUCGGUCCCCAACUGCUCAACACUAUCCAAAGCUCAUCGAGAAAGACAAGAGUGUGAUAAUGGCGAUCCAGAUACCGAGUCGGCAGCUCUUCAUCGGCGGCGAGUGGAAGGAACCAGCUCUCAAGAAACGCAUCCCCAUCAUCAACCCCGCCACCGAACAAAUCAUCGGUAAAUCUCUCUCUUUCUUCACUGAUUCAACUUGAAGGUUUUGAUUCAAACUUGAUGUGUUAUUGCAGUGGUGGGUUUGUGAUGAUCCGAUCAAUGAGUUUUGUUUUUGUGCAGGGGAUAUUGCGGCAGCUACAGCUGAAGAUGUGGAGAUUGCUGUGGAGGCGGCACGGAAGGCUCUUGCCAGGAACAAGGGGAAAGAUUGGGCAUCGGCGCCGGGGGCGGUUCGUGCCAAGUAUUUGAGAGCCAUUGCUGCUAAGGUAGUUUGUUUCUCUCAUUAUUUGGCGCUGUCAUGGUUUUGUUCUUGUAUGGAUUUGUUAUGUUUUGCGACGGUUUGUGUAUGUUUUUUUAGUUUAAGAGUUGUUGUUUUUUGGGUGUAGAUAACAGAGAAAAAAUCCGAGCUAGCAAAACUCGAAGCAACUGAUUGUGGGAAACCGCUGGAUGAAGCCUUAUGGGACAUGGUAUGUACUGUGUAGUGUGAUUCUCUCUGGGUGAGUUUUUAUUUGUUUUGUGUAGUUUCUUAUGUCCUGGCGUGUGCAAUGCAGGAAGAUGUUGCCGGGUGUUUUGAGUACUAUGCAGACCUUGCUGAUGGUUUGGAUAAACAGCAAAAGGUUUCUAUUGCACUUCCUAUGGAGACAUUUAAAACUCAUGUUCUUAAGGAGCCGAUUGGGGUUGUUGCGUUGAUUACUCCAUGGUAUUUGCUGCUUCUUUUCAUUAUAAGAGAUAAUUUUACUUGAGGCCUGUACUUACCUGUUUGUUAAGUAAUCAAUCACCGGUGAAACUAAAUUCUGGAUUUCCAAUGGUCCUAGAAACUUUGGUUGGCAAGGAAUUUUUAUGGGUAUAUGGUGGUUUUAUCUUGUAGAUGGUCUUUCGGUGCUAAUGUGGAGAAUCUUUAUGAUUUAUAUGUUAAUGAAUUGCUUCUUUCUUAUGUUUAGGAACUACCCUUUAUUAAUGGCUACAUGGAAGGUAGCUCCUGCCUUGGCUGCUGGGUGCGCUGCAAUACUGAAGCCGUCUGAGUUGGCAUCAGUGUAUGUCCUUCUUUGGUUAUAUUUACUUACUUCAGUUCUUAUGUAGAUAAUUCUAGUUAAAGCUUAUCAUCAUUUAACAAUUAAUUUCAGAACUUGUUUGGAGCUAGCUGAGGUGUGUAGAGAGGUGGGUCUUCCUCCUGGUGUCCUCAAUAUUCUGACCGGGCUGGGCCAUGAAGCUGGCGCUCCUUUGGCUUCUCAUCCCCAUGUUGAUAAGGUUCAACUCCAGCUCCUCUUCGUCUUCUAUUGAUAAUCUUGCUAUAUAUGUUUCUUUGAGUUGUUUCAGCUACCAUGUUGUAGUAGCUUAUAAACUUGUGUUCAACAGGUUGCAUUUACUGGAAGUACACUCACAGGGAGCAAGAUUAUGUCAGCAGCAGCUCAACAGGUUAAGGUAUACUAGCUCCAUAGUUUGGCAGUCGGUCAUUUAUUUUUGUUUUUACAUUCUCUUCAUUUGAUCUUCAUAUACUUAUUCCUAUGUCAUUUGUGGUAGCCUGUUUCGCUGGAGCUUGGAGGGAAAAGCCCAAUUGUUGUUUUUGAUGAUGUUGAUAUUGACAAAGGUUAGCGUCUUUUGACACCAUUCUUAAAUAUGUAACAUCCUGUAGAACUAGUUGUUCACGUGGAAUCUACACGUUGAAGCCAAAUCAUGUUAGAAAUAACAUGCAUUACAAUUCCUGGUACCAUAAUGAUAAUUUGUUUACUCUAUGAUACAAUCAGCUGCUGAAUGGACCGCCUUUGGCAUCUUUUGGACUAACGGUCAGAUUUGCAGUGCAACAUCCCGUCUUAUACUGCAUGUAAGUAUGAUAGAUAGUUUCCUGUCUUAUCCCGUCUUACACUUGCUUUGAUUCUCUUCCGAAUUGCAUCUCUAGAACUGAACAUAUAUUGCUUGUCAAUUUAACAACUCUAAAUCAUGUAGUUAGUGGUAAUUUUGUGUGACAUUAAUCAGUUAGAGUCUGCUUCCUUGCUGAACAUAACUAAAAUGAAAAUAAACCUAGCUGACUUGGAGUUCUUAUCUUAGUGCCAUCUUAAAACAAGCAUUCUCCGUAUCAUUUUUAAUUCCUUAUGCUUGUUUCAGGAAAGUAUUGCAUCAAAAUUCUUAGAGAGGCUUGCUGAAUGGUGCAAAAACAUUAAGAUUUCAGAUCCUUUGGAAGAAGGUUGCAGGCUUGGCCCUGUUGUUUCUCAAGGGCAGGUACAUAUUUAUGCAUUUUUAUUUUUAUUUUCAUUUAUUUCGCGUAGAGGGUUUUCUAUCAACAAGUUCAUUAAAACACUUAGACAUCAUACCUAGAUAACUAUUGUUAUCCCGGUAAAUGUUAUUGUUUCCAUGAAGUAGUCUAGAUAGAUGCCAGGGGAGGGUCGUUAGAGACUUAAUAAGAUACCGCCCUCUCCUCCCUGGAAAUAUUUCAGGAUUGUUGUUUUGUGUUCUCCAAAGACUCUUGCCUUGAGUUGGGUAUGGGUAGGGAAGGUUGACUUCACUAUUAAGUAUAAACCUGUUCCACUAGUGUAAAGUUUUAACAUUUCAACUGGGUAAUAUCUCUUAUCCGAAUAGCUAUAUCUAUGCUAAAUGGUUCCAAGACAGAUUGGUCAAAUUUGUUCUCUUAGAAGGAAGUUCUUUGAUUCAAGGCUGAUAAAAUGUGUGGUGAUGUUUGUGUAAAUAUUAGAGUCCGCAGAGUUUUACAUGCAUUUGUGCAGAUUAUAUCAGCAUUUGCAGAUGAUAAUGAUGAAUUCUUGGUGUUUGUCUUCGGGGAAAUAAUAUGGGAAAAUCGGAAACUUUGUUGUAUCUACUAGAUCAAAUUUUUUUCUGUGUAGACUUUCUUGUUCUCGAUAAGUCAUAAGUUUAUGAUUGAAGCAUCUAAUAUUUGCUUCUUCUGUCAGUAUGAGAAAAUAUUGAAGUUCAUCUCAACAGCUGAGAGUGAAGGCGCAAAAGUUUUGUGCGGUGGGGUUCGUCCUGAGGUAUAACCUCCUCUACCUUUAUCAUGACCAUUUUGCUUUAUGACUUGUAACUAACACUUGAUUUAUUGUACAAAUGUAUGGCAGCAUCUGAAGAAAGGAUAUUACAUUGAACCAACCGUCAUCACCGAUGUGACUACCUCCAUGCAAAUUUGGAAAGAAGAGGUUUUUGGACCUGUUCUUUGUGUCAAAACAUUUAGUUCAGAAGAAGAAGCUAUUGAAUUAGCAAAUGACACCCAGUGAGUCGACUCUUAUUUUUCCGUGUUAAUUAUGUGGAAAUUUUUUUUGGUUGGUUUUGUUUUGUUCUGGGUCUACUUACAUCUUCUAGUUUUGUGAUUGGAUCUGGGUCUUUUCUAACAGUUUUCAUAUUUAACAGAUUUGGCUUGGGUGCUGCUGUCAUAUCAAAUGAUCUAGAAAGGUGUGAGCGUGUUUCGAAGGUGAGACCUCUCCUUUUAAUUCUAGUGCAAUGAGUCUUCCUUUCUGAUAUUCAUAGAACAGCAUCUUAAUCAUGUGUUGCGUUCUCUGUUCUGUUUUUCAGGCCUUUCAGGCAGGAAUUGUCUGGAUCAAUUGUUCACAACCAUGCUUCACUCAGGCUCCUUGGGGUGGCAACAAACGUAGUGGUUUCGGGCGUGAAUUAGGGACAUGGUAUGGCUGUAUCCAAACUAAUACCUGAUAGAAGCAUAUACUAGUUGAAUUUAGUGUAACAACCAGGCUGUUACUUCUGAAAUAUAUAAUUGCUGAUCAGUAUACUACAUCCCAGUAUUAUUAUGAAUGAACUGCUGAUGGUAUUAUAUCUUUUCUCUUUUCAACAGGGGACUUGAGAAUUACAUGACUGUGAAGCAGGUUACUCAAUAUGUGUCUGAUGAACCUUGGGGUUGGUACAAGUCACCUUCACCUUCAAAACUGUGAAGUCUCCUACAAAUGGAACCGGGUAAACUGCAAGUUGCUGAUAUAGAAGAAAUAAGGGGUUAAUUUGCACUAAAUUGGAUGUAUAAGAACUAAAUAAAUUUCUGAAAUAACUAGUUAAAGUCUUUUUAACAGUGGACUCGCAUGUUUUGUAUUCAGAGGUACAGUUAGGCUAAUAGUGAUGAUAGAUUAGCCGCAUUGCAGUGACAGUGUCACUCGUGGGCUAGUGCAACCUAUAAGGAUUACAUUAAGUUAUGUAGUCUGGAUUUAAUACAAGUUGUAAGGUGGAACACAUACAAAUCUAACCCAUGUCUGGGUUGGUUAAUCGAAAUGUUAUUGCUUUCCGUUGUUGCGUGUGCCACUAGGGAGAAAGGUCGAGAGUUGAACGUCACAGGGGUUCGUAUCAACUACAAAUCUUUUCAGCAUCCAACUUAAUAGAAUUAUGUACAUUCUUGGUGACCACCUUAAUCAAUUGAAAGGGAAAGGUCAUUAUUAUAUAACAAGCACAACCUAACGUUUUCCGGCCAGAUCAGUCCACCUCAUCAGCCAAAUCUUAUCUCUUGUGGUCAUUUUAGACGCGUCCACAUCCAGCCAAAAAAUAUCAAUGUUUUGAUCCUAGAUUCCUAGAUCAAUUACCAUAACUCUACCACAUAGCCUAGACUUAUGAAGGACGAUUGGUUAAGUAGCAUUGUAGCAAUAGCUUGAAGUCAUUUGUGGUAGGGUUUAUUUGAGCUCAUUUACAACAAGGGCUACUUGUCAUUUAAUAGGAAUGUUGUGUUAUUGGUAUGUAUGGUUCAAAGUAGUCGUCUGAUGUAAACGUUUUUUGGACGUGGAUUAAUCAUUAAAAUUAUUUAUUUUAUCAGAAAAAAGAUUCAAUGUUUACUCUAACGGUUGAGUGCCUAACCUAACUUUUUUUUUUUUCUAAGAAUGAGACGGUUUUCUAUUUGCAUGUAUAUUCAUGUUUUUAUGCCACAAUCAAUCCUUUAUAAAAUAUGUAAAGAGUAAUUUAAAGACAGAACCAAGCUUUCUUUUCUUAUCAAAUCCUGUUAACAAAGUUGGUCUGCGAAGAACAUCAAGUUACAUUUUUCUUCAAGGAUUGUGUUACAGUGUUACAUUGGAUUGAAAUAAAAACGAAGAGAGUUGUAACCAAAAAAAAAAAAAAUUAGAAAUAAAACGAAGAGAGAAGAGGAUAAACCAGAAAAACAUUUAUUGGGUCCCCUAUGAUCUGAGGCAAAUCCAUAGCUGCGGGAUUCAUAUUCCAAUGGUCCCACGCAGCUCCUUCCCAUCUUCCCGAAAAGGCAAUGACAAAACAAAACGGAAGCUUCGUUGUUGGCUAAGCUUGGCAGUGCUUAUCAGCAGCCAGUGGUCAUGUUUCUACCAUUUUCUGCAUUUCCACCUAUAUUCACCGACACUCUCUUUUUACUGCAUCAUUCCUUGCCCAGAUUUCACUUUAUCCUCCUCUUACUUUCUCUGUUAAAAAGUACAAAUCUUUCUGCGCAAAACUGUAGCUUUCUUGUUCCCUAGUGUGUUGCCCAUACAGUUAUGCAUUUGGGUUCUCUCAGUUCACUGAGGUUGUUGAAGGUUCUGGUUUAAUAGCAGAACAGGGUUGUUGUUGUUGUUGCCUUUUGAGGAUCUGGAUUUGUGUUAGAGCAAGAUGGGGAGCUCAGAUGAGAAAGUUGUGGCUGUGAUCAUGGUGGGUGGGCCCACUAAAGGUAUGAAAGUGUUUGAGUUACUGUGAUUAUUGGAUCCAAUAAUGAAUUCCUAUUGCAAUGAGAUCAAUUUGAUUGUUGCCGUAAAUUUUGAAAAGCUAUGACUUAAAAUGGUGUAAUUCCUCAUUUAAGUCUGGCAUCUGUAUUGUAUUACAAUGUUGGAACUUGGUUCAGAGUGUUUUGUAGUUGAAUCAUAAAGUGAUCCAUUAUGCUUUUCUUAAUAUAUUGGACGUGUGGCUUGAAAUGAAAUCAUACAGGCACUAGAUUCCGGCCACUGUCAUUGAAUAUUCCGAAGCCACUUUUUCCUUUAGCAGGACAACCAAUGGUUCAUCAUCCGAUUUCCGCUUGUAAAAAGGUAUAUUCUUGAACUUAUAAUUGUCAUUGAUGUGUUAUUAUAUGCUUAGUAGUUUUUUUUAUAAGAUUCUAUGCUUGGUAGUUGAAUAUGUUUGUUUGUAUUACAGAUUUCUAACCUGGCACAAAUCUUUCUCAUUGGUUUCUAUGAGGAGCGUGAGUUAACAUUAUAUGUAUCCUCGAUCUCUAAUGAGCUUAAGGUCCCUGUUAGGUGAGUUUUUGCCCUUUUCUUUUGUAGUAAUUGGUUUCUAAUCAAAUUUCAAAAUGUUGAAUUGGCUACGGACUUUUAGUUUACUGAUCAUUUGUUGUGUUUAGAUAUUUGAGGGAAGACAGGCCACAUGGUUCAGCUGGUGGACUUUAUAACUUCAGAGAUCUAAUCAUGGAAGACAGCCCGGUUAUUACCUUUACCCUACGACUUCCUGUUAGGGUUAAUUGAUCGAGUGUUGUCUAUUCUUUCUUUAUUCCUUCUAAUUACUCUUUCAAAUCUCUCGUUUUGCUUUUCCUUCUCUGUAUUGUGCAUAGUGGUACGCUCUUAGAAUAUUUUGAUGGCAUACUUGCUCAAUAUUAAUGGCAAUUUUUUUGUAAUAGAAGAUACUGAUUUUGGCUCUUUCUUUUGCAUGCAGUCGCACAUUUUCUUGCUGAACUGUGAUGUUUGCUGCAGUUUUCCGCUUCCAGAAAUGCUUGGUAACUAUUUAAUGAGCUGCUGAUGUUUGUGAAGUGUUAGCUUGAUAAUUGUUCAUUUUAUGGCUUGCAGAAAUUGAUGCCUUUUCAUUUCUACCUGCAGAGGCUCACAGAAAAUAUGGUGGGAUGGGUACGAUCCUGGUCAUCAAGGUUAGUCAACAGAUGCAUUAAUAGAAUUCUGACAAAGUUAAAUUUUCUGUUGUUAUAUACCAACUCCAUGUCCUAUAUCUAUUUUUUGUGUGUAUAGGUUUCUCCUGAGUCAGCAAGUCAGUUUGGGGAACUUGUAGCUGAUCCGGUCACCAAUGAACUGCUGCAUUACACAGAGAAGCCUGAAACUUUUGUAUGUUUGAGAUCGGGUUUUUUAGCCUCAGUGAACUUGAAUUGGGAUUUCUUACCUGCAUUGCCUCUUCUUUUUUGUUUUAUCCUUCUGGUGAUAUUGUUAUUUUAUUCAGGUCAGUGACCGGAUCAAUUGUGGUGUCUACAUAUUCACACCAGAUAUUUUUAAUGCCAUAGAGGGUGUUUCUUCUCAGAAGAAGGACAGAGGUCAGUGAUACAUUGUCCAUGCAUAGGCUCUCCUAUGCUAUUUAUGUGCUGUAGUAUAAGAUUUGCUCUGCAGUGGGUUGUCUUUAGUUUAAACUUUAAACUUUCCAAAUAAAAACGAAAAGCUGUGUUGAUCUGGCAGUUCAGCUUUCAAUAAGAACUUGGUAUCUGCUUUUUUGCAUGAGAUAGUAAGAUAUUUCGACACAUUCGACUUCUUUCACAAAUAUUGAUCAUUGUAGUGAUCACCUCGCAAAAAGAAACCUUUAUCGUGCUGACAUGUGAACUCUCUUUUAUUUGCAGCUGACUUAAGACGUCUAUCCAGUUUUGAAGCCCUGCACUCCGCAACAAGGUUUCUCCUUACUCUAGUAUAGAAGGACCUAUGUACUACAAUGAAUCUUAUAUAUAAACUGUUACAGGGUAUCGUGACGUAUCGACUCGUUAGAGCCUGUUUGGUUUUUCUGUCCCAUAAUAGUUUCCAGUCGUUUAAACAGAAGAAACAUUGAAAACCUUCAGCCAAAUGAGCUUUUAGAACUACCUCCAUACUUUUAAAUUUUCAAUGGCUGCUACUCUGCUAGACUAUUAUGAAGAAGUUUUAUUAGUAACCCUUAGCUGAUACAAAGUUCCUUUAACAGGAGUGCAUCCACACAUUUUGUGAGGUUAGAUCAAGAUAUCCUAUCCCCUCUUGCAGGAAAGAAGCAGUUAUAUACAUAUGAAACCAUGGACUUCUGGGAACAGAUUAAAACUCCUGGGUAAGAUUGGCCUAUCAACUGUUGAUUUCUUUGAUAACCUUUUCCCUCAUUGAUCUGAAUGAACUGAUAAAUAUUUUGCUUUCCCUGCAGAAUGUCCUUGAAAUGUUCUGCUUUGUAUCUUUCACAAUUCCGAGUCACCAGCCCCCAUCUUUUGGCAAGUGGAGAUGGUUCAAUGAGUGCCAGUAUUUCUGGCGAUGUUUACAUUCAUCCAUCAGCAAAAGUACACCCCAGUGCUAAAGUAUGAACACUGAACGAUAGUAUUAUCAUUGGCCUUGAUCAGUUUUUCCUCUGCGACUCUAGUAAUGUAUUAACAAUCUCCUAAUAUCUGGUCCCGCAGAUUGGCCCUAAUGUCUCAAUAUCUGCAAAUGCUCGUAUAGGAGCUGGUGUGAGGCUCAUAAGUUGUAUCAUACUCGACAAUGUUGAAAUUAAGGUAUACAUCUGAAGAAAAGGUCGCAAGCGCAAUAUAAACUCAAAAUUAUUGUGCUAACAAAUUUAUAUAAUGUUUUAUGUCAGGAAAAUGCUGUUGUUAUUCAUGCAAUUGUUGGAUGGAAAUCUUCCAUCGGGAAAUGGUCUCGUGUCCAGGCAAGGCCAUAAGUUCUAUUGCUAUCUAUAUUUAUUAAGAUAACUAUGCCUACAACUGUUGCAAUUGGGUUUCUUAGUUUUGUUUGCUAUUAUGAUUUCAGGCUAGUGGGGAUUACAAUUCAAAGCUUGGGAUCACAAUCCUUGGUACUUGUCCUUCUAAUUUUUGUUUAUACAUCAUCCUUUUUUUUCACUCUUUCCUUCAAAAUCACAUAAUGCACCAUCUGAUCUGAUUACUAUUUCUAAUAAUCCAGGUGAAGACGUGACAGUUGAAGAUGAAGUAGUGAUUAUCAACAGCAUUGUCCUCCCCCAUAAGACACUCAAUCUCAGUGUUCAAGAGGAAAUAAUUCUUUGAUAAGUUAAUGGUAGCCACCCAACUUUGCAUUAUGGCUUCUCGCACUAUUAUACAGCUUUCAUUGCUCUUUAGUUUCAGGACUUGUGAUAAUAGAGCUUAUUGUUCAUUUGUAAAUUCAAGUCUUGCUAAUAAAAGAAGAUUAAUAUCAGUUAUCAUCUUAUAUGUAGAUUUAGAAAGCUAAUUUUGAAUGAUUGACAAUGCCAAACGUGGGCAAAUCCUCUUAUAGGGCUCCUAAACAAGUAGUGGGAAAACCGAAUUUAUUUCAAGAAUCAAGUGGAAGUCAUUUUUGUUAAGCACUCGACUGUUGACAACAUUUUGCUCUUUGUGAUAAGCCUUAUGCAUAUUCUUGUUUCCAGAAACUUUUAAAUGCUAAUGUUAUUGACUGGAGAAAGGAGCAAAUAAGCGGCCAUGUACAAUAUACAACGUUCACCUCAACAUAAGCAUCUGUAACUAGCAAUCAGUAACAUAAACCAUGAAAAGAAUCUGUAUUGAAUGCCGAUAAAGAGAGUGACAAAUUGUUAUAAGUAUCCUGAGGAUUGCUAUUCUAACAUGGAGCAUAGAGAAAUGCAUCCAACACGGGGGUGAUCCCUUCUUUGUCGAGUCAACAAUGAGAGCUGAAAAGAAGCAAUUUCCUCAAUCAUCUGGGGCAUGUAAUAAAAAUGGAGAAACAUCAAGCUUGGAUUGGCUUCUCAACAACUUCAGAGUACCAUGACUUCCAUGCUUCCAUGUAAUGAGAAAACAGCUCCUUCACAGCUGCAAUGUAGAUCACACAAAACCGUUGGAUUAGUAAUUUGCAUCAAAAACUGUAGAUCUAUGUUGUAAAAUUGUAUUUAGAUUGGGAUUUCUGUGACUUGAGUGUUUUAGGGGUUGGGGCUUUUAUAUUCAUAUACCAUCAAGUAGGAUUUUCUUGUUGGCUAGCUCUAUUUCCAUACUGCGUUAGGAUAGCCUAUAAACUAUCCCUACUGCAACCUAAUGGAGGAUACUUGAAUCCGAAAUCGAUUAACAAAUGGAAACCUAACUUCCCCUUGUUCUUGAUCUUCUUCUCUCCCCUAGUCUCCCGUUCUGUUUAUCUCUCUUUCCUGAUCUCUCCUCUUUCUCCCAGUAUUUCCUCCUUCUCCUACAUCAAAAAGUGUCCGAGACUGAUGAUAAUACACAUCUUUUAAGAGAAAAACAGAGCUCUCAAGAGUAAAGAUCCUCAUCAUUCAUCUCUUGAUACAAUAAACACAAGUCAAGGCCUUUGUUGGUUUCCGGACGUGAAUUUAAACCUAAAGAGUCCUGUAUGCUGAAACUGAGUAGCUGACUUGUGAUAAAUGAUAUACAAAGCACCAUUUACUACCCAAAAUAAAAAUAAAAAUAAAUUAGUGGACAUUAAGCUGAAGCAUAAGAUGUUACCUUGAUUCUGAUACUGGGGACGGUAAGUAGAUGAAAAAUUGUCCCAGUCAACUUUCUUCAUGUUGAAAUUCCCAGCUCUGGCAAUAGUGACUGGAGCAAAAGGACCAAACUGGUAGCUCUUUGUACCUUCUCUUGAAUCCUCUGAAUUGUUCUUAUCAACAGUACGUACUAUGCUCUCACGUUGCCUUACUGUACUCUCAUGUUGCUUUUGUAUCUGAGCUUCCAAUUUCCCAGUAGUAGAAGAUUCUCCUUUACCCCUCUUAGAACUGACAUUUGUGAUAUCUGUUCCAAAAGCUCUUUUUCUAGACUCGUCUGAAGCUGAACUUGCGGCAUCUUUUCCUCUCAAUCCUAACCACUUGUAUGCAGGCUUCCUUGUAUCUGCUGUGUGGGUCUACAUAUUUUUGAACAAGGGCACAGUUUAGCUUGGCAGUACAUUAUACUAGAGGUUUAAGUAAUGAUGAAUUCUAAAAUUUCUCUAUUAUAAGUUCUAUAUGUUUUACCUUUUCAAUCAGAUUCAUGGAGGACAAAACAUUUGCAAUAUCAUAAAUCCGCCUUACUUUAGCUGCUUCAUCAAGUAGAAAAAGGCAAGAGUUUCAGUUCCUUUUCAAGUUAUAUACACAAAUAUUCAAGAAUAAACAAAUGCAAGUACAGAUUUCUUACUUCUCAUUAUAGAUGCAUUGUGUACAUCCCCAAGUAAUAACUUCGCAGCUUCAUCAAGGGAGAUGGAUUCUACCUACAAGUUCAUACAUCACAAUAAAAAAUCACCCAAAAUGACACAGUCAACUGAUGAAGAUUUUAAUCAACUGAGCAAGUAACAAUAAGCAUUGAACUUACAGUGGAGCAGACAAAGAGCUUCACAAAAUUCUGUGUAAGAAGUGCAAGAGACUUUUCCCUUCUAUUAUCUGCAAAAGUUAACCAAAACAAAUUGUAGGAUGUAAGAAAAACAACUUCAUCAAGUUAGACCAAACCUAAAAGACAGCAUAACACUGUAGGAAUGAGUCAUCAAACUACAUGUGGCAAUCCAAAUUUGUUGUUCCAGAACCAAAAUUUGUAGCACUGAGAAGAAACAAGACUUACCAUUUUUCGAGUUUGCUGAAGAUUUUGGAUUUGCACCGGGAUUCUCAUUCUGACUCCCGGUCGCAGGACCACUCUCAUCACCUUCCUCAUCAUCCGAACCCUGCGAACACUGUAAAAUAAGAAACCACAAUAUCUUAAUCACCAGAAUCAAAAACCAAACCAAAAAGAAGUAAAAAAAAUUAUAUAUAUAUAUGAGGGCCCUUCUACUAAGGGAUCCCUUUUUUUUACAUAUAUGAGGGAUCAAGCAUUAGAUCUACUUUUCAAUCACAUUUUUCAAUCUUAACUGUUCAGUUUUUAGGUCCUAAUAUAUAGAUCACUUCUGCAAAAUUUCAUCCAAAUUGGUGAUCGUUAAGGUGUUCAAAACUGCGAAUUAAAAUUAUAGGCAUGAACGGUUCAGGUUUGGCAGAUUUGAUCCAUCAAUUGAUUUCAGUUAGUUCGAAGCCUUAACGAUCACCAAAUGGGAUGAAAUUUUACAGAAAUGAUCUACAUAUAUACAUCUAAAUAUUGAACGGUGGAGAUGUUGAUAUGUGAUUGAAAAGUUGGUCUAAUGCUUGAUCCCUCAUAUAUGUCAAAAAAAGGGAUCCCUUAGUAGAAGGGCCCUAAUAUAUAUGUACACACACACAUAUAUCUCACAGUUAAAAGAACAAUCCUUUCACUUACCUUUGGAUCAUCACUGCCCUGGAAAUUUCCGUGGAAAGUAUUGAAGUUCUCUUUCAGACCGGCUUCCUAUCAUACCCACCAAACCCAAAAUCAAUCCCACAUUUCUCAUAAAACACAAGAACAAAAAUAAAAAAAUCAGAUCCGAAUCUUCAUCAACACUAAAAAAGCAAGUACCUUUAGCUCCUGCAAGGUAUCUGGGAUUGCCCCAAACCCUUUCCAAGAAUAUUGAUUCUUCGCCUUUCGCGCAAGAACCUGUAAUCAAAAAAAAAAAAACCUCAAUUUGGCCCAAAUAAACCCCACCCCAAAUUUCAUAAUUAUAACAAAAAGAAACUGACCCCAACGCUCUCAAGAACAUUAACGAUAUCGUAGAUCCGCCGCCUCUCAACUCCUGCACAUUUUCCCACAGACAUCAGAUCCCCAAAUAUCGACCGCCGCAAAAUUUCAAUAUUACAGAAAGAAAUUAAACCUAAUUUUGAAGCGGCGUCGUCUAGGCCGACGGAGGUGACGCCUUCGCGGUCGUACAAUGAGAUGAAACUGCAAUUCAAAGAUUCCAGAAAUGUGAACAAACCAAUCAGAAAAAAACAAAAUUGAAGAGAGAGAAAGGGAUGUACUUGGAGCAUAAGAGGCCGAGAGACUUCUGCUUCCGGCUGUACGAGUGGUGCCUGGUGGAAGUGGUCUCCGGUUGUGUCGGCGGCGGCGGAGGCGGAGGUGCGGCGGGGUCCAUGGUUGUUGGUGUUGAGAAAUGGAGGGAAUUGAGGUGGAGGAGUGAGAUUAAUAGAGGACCGUUAAGGCGGGGGAGGGUUUUAGGGAUUUGAAAAUUGAGGGGGUGUUGGGUUUUUAGGGAUCUGAAAGAGGGAGAGAGAAGAAGAAGAAGCCGCCAAGAAAGAGAUGGUUUUUGGUUUCAAAUGUUUGAAUGAGCGGGAAAAUCUAACGCUUAUUUUGGAUUUAUUCGGGUUUUUUGCCGGGCUUUGCUUCGGCUCCCGCUUUUUGGUUUCCAAAUAUUAAUUGGGCCGGGUUAAUGUGUUUUUUUAUACAUUGACGGAAAUUUUCACUUUUAGCAAGUGUUUUUUGAGUUGUUUUUUCCUUCUCUUUUUGGCAUUUGAUUUGUUUCUACUUUAUCCAUUUGUGACUUUAUUAUUCAAUUUCAUCAACACAAUUGUUAUUUUGUAACACCAAUAGAGCGAUUGGAACUUGGAAACAUGGUGGUACAAGUGUAUCUACAAGUACUAAGAAAUCUUAGUCAUUCAGUUUAAUCUAGUUGUUCACAUGGCAACAACAACAACACCAACAACAAAACACUAAAAAAAAAAAAAAAACCUAAAAGUUAAACAAAAAGUUUCAUUACUUCAGACUUAAUAAUAAUAACAAAUCAUUAAAUACUGGUAAUUAGUAUCAUCUUAAGUUCCUCACUACAUUGAUAAAUAUCGUUGUACAACUUAUGAAAUGUUCUUAAUCUGAUCGACUGUCGAUUAGCCUAGUAUCUCACUCUCGUACCUUAUGUGUCUUACGAUCAUAAAAGCUUUAGAAUUUUUUUUCUCAAGCAACUAAUAUGACAUUGACUAGUCAUUUACUAUAAUUUGGAGACCUAUGAUUGACUAGUCAUUUACAAGAUAUGAAAUCCUACCCCAUUUCUCAAGUGCUAUAACAUCAUAGCAAUAUUUUUCAUUUGGUUUCAUGUCGGAAACACAUUCAUACAAGAUUAGAUCUAUUAUUGCUUUCUGGUUAUUGCCUUAUGAGCUGAGAUCUGUAGUCAAUUGUACCCUAAGUCUAAUCGGACUAGAUUUCCAAUUUCUCUAGCUUAGUUCACAAAAUCACUUAUCAUUUUUAACCACUCUUUAAUUUCCUCUAAUACCUGACAUAAUUUCUCAUUUACCCAAAUGCUAGAGCUCCCUUUCAAGUGUGAAGUAUAGAAUAAUUAUUAUCAUAACAACUGGUAUAACAGUAUAUCAAACAUGAAAUCACACUCUAUACUGUGGAGCCUUAAAAACACAGUUUCUAUUCUACAACAUCAUAACGACUAUAUGACAAUUAGGCCCGGUCUUGAUUUCAGAACAUGCAUUAGAUAACUGUUUUUGGAUAACAGAACUGUGUAAAUUUCUGUAAAAGAUAAGAUUUUGGAUUAAUGUUUAAGCAAAAUAAUGCAAUAAUGUGGUAUGGUAGUUCAAGUUCAACAUUCCAUAUUCUCGUCUAUCUCUGAGGUUUCUGUUAGCAUCGUUCUCACCAAAAACCAAAUAUGUUACUGAUGUAAAUUCAUGACCUCAUCUCAUGCUCCUUUCAACAAACUAUCCGUGGAUGACCUUGUGGAUGACCUUAUUCUUGUCUAUCUGUGGAUGACUUUCUGUUGAUGAACACAAUCUUUGUAUCAAACAUAUCGUAAACAUAUACUUGAUCACAAAGCUCAAUGUCUAUUCACUAAGGUCGAGGACCAGUUACUAUUGCCAGAAUAUAUGUGUAGAGUCAGAACUGAUGAAAUUGAUCUUCUAACAUUAUUCCAAGCUUCUAUCUAACUCAUGUAUGCCGCUUGAAAUUGAACUUAAGUCUGAUUUGCUUUACUUCAGAAAUGUGGUACUGACAGUAUGAUCUUCUAAAGAGAAGUACAGUAAUCAGUGAAGAACCACAAUUUAACUAGCUUGUCAGUUCAAUGAGCGACACUUUCAGCUUCACGACUACUAGAACUCCAACUAACCUGGCAAAAUUGCAUCUGAACAAUGAGUAGGUACAUCCCCUCCCCCCAUUUGCCUCCCUCAACAUUUCCCUGUAAGUCGUUGCCACAUUCCAGUUUGAGACCAGCAACAACAACAGAAGCUACACAGCGUCAAUUGCUAUUGUGGAUGCGAUGGUGGACGAGGCCAGCAGAAAUAAAAACUCCAGAGAACAUCAUGCAUGAUAACAUCACUCAUCAAAACCAAUCCUUGUUCUGACAAGUUAAACAGGAUGGAACAAGCUUCUGUUGAACCUUGAUGAGCACGAAGCACUGCAAGCAAUCAUGUCUUCUUCUUUACUUCUUUGUUUUACUAAUUAAGCCAAUGACACUCAUGACUUGUUCUCCCGCACAUGGUACUUAAUCUCCCAAACACUGGAAGAUGGUCAUCAGGGAUUUAUAACCCUCAAAUUGGGUGCUACAUAUCUACCUCGUUCAAUACUAGUUUACAAGUAUAGCCAGAUCAUUCUAAAUACUAGUUUACAAGUAUAGCCAGAUCAUUUUAAAUACUGUAAUGGGACAGCACAGAAGAAGGUUUUGCACAUAAGAUCGAGCGUGACUCCUCAAUCUUCAACAUGAAUGGGAAAUCCCUUUCGAGCGGUAACGGGGUUUAUCCAAUGACCAUUUCAUAUCUUCGUAAUUCAAGUCUUUGUGAAUUCUGACAUGGUUUAUAAUCUGACCUGACGGGGAAGACGGCCACAUCUGCUCUGCGAUCUGAGAAUCUCUUUUGCAAAACCUUGAUUACCAGUUAACAAAAGCCCGUCCAGAACCUUAUUAAAGGUGUAUUUCCGGGGCAAAAAUCCUCUAUCAACCAUCUCAAUUAGCAACUUCCCUGCCACUAACAAAUCUUCGGGUUUCUUCCUCACAAACAUGGCACUUAUCAACACAUUGUAUGUAUCCAAAUUAGGCAAGCACUCUCCCUUACCCAUCUUCUCAAACACAUCCAACGCCUUAUCAAUCUGCCCAUCAUCACAAAAGUAACGAAUCACAACAUUAUACGUCUGAACAUUCGGCUCACAAUCAUCAUCCUUCAUCCUCUCCAUCAACUCCAUCCCGCUGUCCAUAUUACCAGCAUGACACAGCCCUCUAACCAACACAUUAUAAGUCGUCACAUUAGGCACGUAACCCUUACUCACCAUCUCCUCAAAAACCACCACCGCAUUCUCCACGCUAUCCUUCUUACACAAAACCUGAAUCAGCGCAUUGUAAGUCGCAACCGAAGGAAGCACCCCCUCCUCAACCAUCCCAUCAAAUAUCUUCCUCACCUUCUUAAUCUCCCCCAAAACACCAAACCCAUGAACCAGAGUGGUAUAAGUAACAACAUCAAUCUCACAUUUCCUCCUCUUCAUCUCCCUAAAGAAUUCCCAAGCCUCCUUAACCUGUCCAGCUCUAAGAUACCCUUUAAGCAUUAUGUUAUAAGUAACCAAACUCGGCUCGAUUCCUCUCUCCACCAUCUCCCUCAAAACCUCUAACGCCUUGGGAGUCCUCUUAAUCAAACACCACCCAUUAACAAUCACAUUAUAACUAACACAAUCAGCUCUAAACCUCCCCCUAAACACCUUAAACAAAUUGUAAGCCUUUUCGACACGCUUAGCUUUACAAAGCACAUCAAGAACAGUAUUGAAAGAAUUCAAAUCCUGAGGGCAGCCAUGUUCAUGCAUCGAAAGAAACACCUUGACAGCUCUAUCGGGUUUCCCGGCGGCGACGUACCUCUCGGCGAUGAUGGCGAAGGUUCUCGGAGCCGGGCCGACCCGGAGGGCGCGCAUUCGGGCGACGAAGGCCCAGAGGGACUUGUAGUCGCGCAAGCGGCCGGCGAUGUCGACGGCGUGGUCGUAGGAGGAGGAGGAGUGGGUGUAGGUGGGGUGGCGGUCGAGGGUUUUGAAGAAGAGGAGGGCUUUGGGGCCAUGGUUCCAGAGGCGCUUGAGGGUUUUGUUGACGGAGUCGGGGGUCCAGUGGAUGUUCGGGUCGUGGAGGAUCCGGGUUAGGGAUUGCGGGUCGGAUUUGAGAAUAAGGGCGGCAAAGGCGGCGUCUUGAGGCGGUUGUGAUGGCGGUGAAGUGGUUAGGUUGUGAUGAGAUGGAAUUGAGAAAGUGGGUUUUGGGUGUUUCUGUGAUGGAGCUGUGCGGAGGAGAGUGUACAUUUUCUGGGGCGGUUAUAUUUUCCGGUCAGCCCAAAACCCUUCGGGCUCGAGAACUAUUAAAGUACUUUCUUUCUUUUUUUCGAUUAAAUAGAAACAAAAAAUUUGAGUAAAUAAUUUGAUAGUGUGUUCAAUGCAACUUUAGGGAGAAUAAAUUUAAAUUUUCACACAAUAUCAAGUGAAGUUUACCACACAACUAAUCAAUUCAAUCAUCAGAUAGUUUCGACCAGGUUAGAUGGAAGAUAUGUAAUGACAUAUUCUAGCUAGCUUGAGCUAUUUAUGUAUUGGGACGAUAUUCAUUUAAAAUUGAAUUUUAUGCUUGCAUCUAAUUUACAAAGUCUCAUCACAUAUUCUUGCUAGCCUGAGCUAUUUAUAUACUGAGAUGAUAUUCAUUCAAAUGGAUUUUAUUAACUACAUUCAACUUGCAAAGUCCCAUCGCUUGAUAACUUGUGUUGUAUUUUUAUAAAUAGUUGGUUAACAAUGUGUCGUACACAAGUUUGUUUAUACUAGAUAAUUGAAUUCCUAUUAAGGUGAAUUGUGAAAUGUUAUAUAUCAUUUUUUACAUUCAUCUUUUCUUAUAAAGAAUUUAAUAGAUGCUCAAUUUUUAAAUAGAAUUAGAAUAUUAGGUUUAUCCUGCAUAUGAACUAUCUCAACUUUGAUUUUUGUCGUUAAUUUGUUGUUAUAUAAUGUGUGUAUCUAACAAUAUCCAAUUAUUCGUACUUGUGGUGUAAGUUUAUAUCUUUGAUUAUGUGCUAUCAAUCCUGAACUCCAUGAAUUACUAGUUCACUACAUGAAUACCUACGGCUCUAUGCAUGAAUAUAAUGAACAAAAAUGUUCAACUGACCAUCAACUGACCAAGAUUACAUUGCUCACAUAUCGAUGGACGCUUCCCUAAGUUUAAAUAGGACCAGAUUGCAAAUAUCAACUAAACACAAACCAAAAAGCGUAAAUAGUGAAACGAGAGAAACCAUAGUGCAAAAUGUUAGAAGCAAACAAACUAAAAACCUACCGAUAGGACCAGUCCACCUCACCAUUUUCGAUUUCGCUCUUUUUUGAAUCUAUCUGGGCGCGGGGGGUCGUUCACUGAGCUCCGUCACUCACGGCGCACGUUAUAGACAACCGCCGCCAACGCCGCAUGUCAAAUCCAACCGUCGCCGCCGAGUAACGCCCAAUCGAUGAACUUGAAAGACAACUACCGCAUCGAGCUUCGCGCCGCGAUUCGCCAGCUAACCGAUCGUUGUCUCUACGCCGCGUCCAAAUGGUAAACCCUAAAUCCCCAAAUUUCCCAACUCUGCUCCAAAACCCUAAACCCUAAUUGAACCAAUUUUGUAGGGCGGGAGAGCAAUUGGUGGGCAUCGAGCAUGACCCGGCCAAGUUCACGCCGGCCAACACCAGAUUCCAGCGCGGCAGCUCCAGCAUCCGCCGCAGAUUCCGCACCACUGACGUCAUCUCGACGCCGAUUGCCGGCGUGUCAUAUGUGUCGACUCCGAUUAUGGAGGAGGACGAGAUUGUGGACGGCGAUUUUUACCUGCUUGCCAAGUCUUACUUUGAUUGCAGAGAGUACAGAAGAGCUGCUCAUGCUCUUCGUGAUCAAGGCGGUAAAAAAUCAGUCUUUUUACGCUGCUAUGCUCUUUACCUGGUUAGUUACUUCAAGGUUCUCUUCUUUUUUUCGUUUCAGAUUUAUGUGUUACCAUGUAUUGUGCAUUUACUAAUCCCAUUUAUGUGAGUUGGUUUUGAUUCAAUUAUUGCAUUAAAGACUGCUGCUUGAUGAGUUCUGCAACAAAUUUAAACAGGAGUGGUUCAGUUCCGAGUGAUUAGGGUGUAAGAUCCAGAAAUUAGAUCAUACAGUAGAUUUGGAGUAAGAGCAGCUUCGAUUCCGUAAUUAGGAGUUCUAUUAGACUUCUACAGUUUGGUUUCAUGAUAUUUGAUAGAUAGUUUUUAGUUAAAAUUUUGUAGGUUUCUUAUAUUGAUACUUAUAGUUGUAUGUACUUCUUUGUUUUAAUUGCUUAAUGAAGGCUGGAGAGAAGCGAAAAGAGGAAGAAUUGAUGGAACUUGAGGGACCACUAGGAAAGAGCGAUGUUGUGAAUCGUGAACUGGCUUCUAUCGAGAGGGAGUUAUCGACUAUUAGGAAAAAUGGUACAAUUGAUCCUUUUGGACUGUACUUGUAUGGCCUCGUGCUGAAAGAGAAAGGCAAUGGGAACCUCGCUCGUACAGUUCUUGUGGAGUCUGUUAAUAGCUACCCUUGGAACUGGAAUGCCUGGUUAGAGCUGCAGUCCUUGUGCGCUACAGUUGACAUCUUGAACAGCCUUAGUCUCAAUAAUCAUUGGAUGAAGGAGUUUUUUCUAGCCAAUGCUUACCAAGAACUAAGAAUGCACAAAGAGUCCUUGUUGAAAUAUGAUUAUCUACAUGGCAUUUUUGGUUUUAGCAAUUACAUUCAGGCUCAGAUUGCAAAAGUCCAGUACAGUUUGAGGGAAUUUGAUCUAGUUGAAGGAAUUUUUGAAGAUCUUCUCAGGAAUGACCCUUAUCGAGUGGAGGACAUGGAUAUGUAUUCCAAUGUGUUAUAUGCAAAGGAAUGUUCAUCGGGACUGAGUUACCUUGCCCAUAGAGUAUUUAUGACAGAUAAAUACAGACCUGAAUCUUGUUGCAUCAUUGGGAAUUAUUACAGCUUAAAAGGGCUGCAUGAGAAAGCAGUUCUGUACUUUAGGAGGGCACUCAAACUGGAUAGAAAUUAUUUAUCUGCUUGGACCCUUAUGGGUCAUGAAUUUAUUGAGAUGAAAAACACGCCAGCUGCUGUUGACGCUUAUCGGCAUGCUGUAGAUAUAAAUCCGAGUGAUUAUCGUGCUUGGUAUGGAUUAGGACAGGCUUAUGAGAUGAUGGGUAUGCCCUUUUAUGCUCUUCAUUACUUCCGGAAAUCAGUAUUUUUACAGCCAAAUGAUUCUCGGUUAUGGAUUGCCAUGGCUCAUUGUUAUCAAACUGAUCAGCUGAAUAUGAUUGAUGAAGCAAAGAAGUGUUACAAAAGGGCAGCAGAUUGUAAUGACAGGGAAUCAAUUGCCCUGAACGCCCUAGCUAAGCUAUAUGCUGAGGAAGGACGUAUAGAAGAAGCAGUUUAUUACUACAAGAAGGAUCUAGAGAGGAUGGAAGAUGAAGAGAGGGAAGGACCUAACAUGGUUGAAACACUCUUCUUUCUUGCUAAAUACUUCAGAGAGCAGAAAAAGUUUGAAGAAGCAGAGGUCUACUGUACCCGUCUUAUGGAUUAUGCCGGCCCAGUGAGUUAUAAUUCUCUUUCUUUUAUAUCCUUAACCAAAAUAUAUGUAACCCCCUGCUAUGAGUUUUGAAAUUAUGAGUCAGUAAGUAAUUUUUAUUUCUUUGUCCAUCACUGCAGGAAAAGGAAAGAGCAAAAAGUUUACUCCGCGGAAUUAGAAUGGAACAAACUGGUGCUCCUUUCAUGGAUAUUGAGCGCUUUCCUCCUUGAUUUCUUGUCAGGACAUAUUACAUCGAUCAACUUCAUGAGCGAUGGGAGUUGCAGUUGAGCAUAGUCUCUUCUCAUGUAUGAUUUAGUAACUGCUAUGCUGAAGGUUUAUUGGUCUGAUUGCUGCAGAAAGUUCAAGCCAGCUCUAGCACUCUAGUCUUGUCUAGUCUUCUAGGACAAAAUUUAACUUCAAAAGCAUUCCCUUCUCCCUGUUGUGGUUUUUCUUGCCUUGAGCUGUUUUUAUAAGCCUUACUGAAUUGUAAUCAGAAACUAUUAUUUUGAUCAUUAUUUGAUUAUCUUCUGUGUGGUCUGAACUUCAUCUGUUGCCUAUUGACAUUUGCAUACUGGUGACGCUAGAAUACAAUUACAAAGAUCAGGUAAAGCGUAGGAGUACCAAAUUUUAACUUGAAUUUUUCAAAAGAGGUCAGAAGCAUAGCCAAAGAACAAUACUUCCAUAUGAAGUCUAUCAGCAACCAACAACAAUAUGAAUUCACGCUUAAGGAAACAUUCACCAUUGAAAUCCAAAUUCACGUUUACAUAAUCAUCACCCAUUGAAUUUAUUUCCGUUGUUUACCCAAGACAACCGGGUUAAAUUUAACACAACCACUUCAGUUCCAGUUGCCAAAAGCAAUUUCAAAGUCACCAUCCCUGAUGAUUUCCCCCUUCGCAUUAUGAUUACAAUCAUUUAGCUGGGUCAGCGAAGAAGCUGUUGAUGCCUGGCAUGAUUUCCGGGGACCUGUUGCGGACAAAUUUCCUCAGCAUAUGCUCCUGAUACUUUUCUCCCUCAGCAAAAUUAUCCAGUACUCCAGCAGCCCUGUUCACCUUGGACACUCUGAUCCAGUAAUAGAGAGAAAAAGACAGUAUCAUACGUCAUUAUGACAUCCAUGAUAACUACGAACAAAAGGAUCAUUCAGAUGUUUACACCAUCAAGUUCAUAAUUUGAUACUCAUUAAAUCCCUCUUUUUUAGUUUCAUGACCGUAUUUCAUCAAACACAGAUUACCUACACUUAGAACACCACACAUGCUCAUUAGUUGAUUGAACCUAUUCGAAUGGCUAGGUUGCUUGUGAACUCAUUUCCGGUGAACUGGCAAUCUGAUCAUGUUUCUAAAUACUAAACAUACAUGUACACACAAGGUAAAUCUAUUUCCAACAACACGAGAAGUCAAAUCCCCUAUUCUUUUGGUCUCAUUUCAUCUACUCAGCCUCUCUAAUCAGUAAUCUUGGAGCACCAGAUCAGCUCAAGUUUAGGUUAACAUCAAAAAUCCAAAAUAAGCCCACAAAUUUUGCAACAUAAACAAAAAUAAUAAUGGGUUUUUCUAAUACUAGUGUCACUUAAGCAUUUCAGCUCUGAAAGUCAGCAAACCAAUCUUCCACAAAAAAGGAAAUCAAACCCAUUAAAGCAAUCAAAUUAAAGCAACAAGCUUUGAAGACCAAAUUUCCAUAUACGGGUAUAAAAGUACAACAAUACGUAUAUGUGUACAUUUAAGGGGAGAGAAAGAGAAACAGACCUGACUUCAGGGUUGAUACACAUAUGGCGGACCAUACUGAACCCACAGAUCCCGACGGCAGCUCCGACGGCCAAGAAUAGCGGGUAAACCUUCAAACACAGCAAAACGACGCCGGAUUAGCACACAAAGACAGAAAUCAAAGCCGAUAAUAGCAAAAGAGAAAUCAGAGGGGUAGAUCUGACGGCGUACCUCAGGCCUCAACCACCGGCUAGCCAUGGAUUGAGAUGAACGGAGAAAAUCGAGAGCUUUUGGUAAUGCGAGAAGAAGAAACAAGACUGAGCUGAGCUGAGCCACCAAACUUAUCCCUGUAGUUUUUUAUUGCAAUGGUUGCGUUUGAUUGGCCCACUCGCUGCGAAUCAGUAGUGGACACGUCACUAAGUUAGCGUCCCAAGGUCUCGGUUAUGUAGUUUUAUAAUAGGAAAAUGAUAUACUAUGGGCGCCGUUCCGAGUCUUGGCACUGUUAAUGCAACGACACCGUUUCAGUUUUAGUUUUUAAUCCAAAGUUAAGAAGCGAGAUUAACCAUUUUCAAUUUUCAGGCAACCGAGGCUACCGGUGUUAAUUAGCGCCUCCGCCAGUAAAGGAACCCCUAAUCCAAGUUCAAAUUAGUGCAACUUCCCCUAAUCCAACUUCAAAUUAAUGCAUAGUUAAAACAUUUCAUUCGUGUUAAGUUACGCACUCCGAAAUCUAUUGUAUGCUUUUCAACUAGGGUGUUCAUAUUAAGUUUUCAGGAACCUUGAAGAGAACUGAGAACUCUAUGAUCUGCAGAGCCGAGUAGGAUGUUAGAAAAUAUAAUACAGGAAGCCAAAUCUAAAGAGUCCAAGACCGCUGCAAUGAGAGACAAAUUUUCUGGCUUCUGUAAGCAUGCUGCUUUGAGCGGAAAAAACAAUCACUAGUUAUAUGGCAUGAUUGAAACUAUUGGCCCUGUGCAGUUUUUGUGGGAGAUAGAAGCUUCUUUCUUGUUAAUUUCAAUGGAUUUGAUGCCUCCACUGCGAAAGUUCAUAUGAAAACGGAAUGCUGAAAGCACAGAUUCACAAUACUCCCUUGGCCACAGUUUCUGACCCCAACCAUUGGCUCGUCAGUGAUUUAGAAUCAGGUCAGGUCGUCAUCAAUAACCUCUUCCGCUAUCCAUCUUUGUCAAUUGUUGUGGCGUAUACGAUCACGCCACGAACCUUGUUUUUUAGCAAGUACCUACAAAACCAUGGUAACAGUUAAUUCAAAUCCUCUCCACAUACCCAUUAUAUGAUUUAUAUCCCUUAAUACCACAAGUCCAUCAUUUUUUGGCCUAGCAGUAUAAUUGAAUUACCUUCUCGCUUAAGAGGCUUGGAGGCUCACUUUCUUUGCAGUCCUUACUAUCAUUCUCUGCCUCAACCUCACCGUUUAUCAUAAUGGAUGGUCGAUUAUCUGAUGCACCAAACAUUGCCUCAUCAUGAGCAGCUUUGAUCCGCUCCUCCCUUUUUGUCUUUUCAUAGAAUGAGUAACAUUAGUAACAAACCACAUUUUCUAAAAACAAUUAAACUGGAACUUAAAAUAAGUAUGACAGAAACAGACAGUAGAAAGAUACCUCAUAUGCUGAAAACCGAAAGCUUUUGCCAAUGUGAUUGACGAGUGCUGCAUCGUCUUCAGCAACUAUAAAGAAAAAAAAGAUUUACAGUUACUAACAUUAUUACUAUAAAGUCUAUAAUGAGUCGCAAACUUGCAACAUACAAUCUAAAUAGGUCAACUUGGCAGUAUAAUUGAUUAUUGAGUCGAAAGUCAAGAAUGAGCUACUUAAUGAUACAUUUCUUUCUCAUCCAGCCUAUGAUAAUCAGUUGACAAUACUCUGCAAACUGUGCAGAAAAUUAGAAUUCUAAUCCUGGAUAACUAACAUGCAACAUAUCUAUAUGACCAGGCUGGAAUCACAUUCCACCAUACAAUAUAGUUUGCCAGAGUGUGAUCAACGUUUCUGAUAACUAGCUUUGGUGGCACAAAGGUCAUGCUUUCUGUUAAUGCUAGUCUAGUUUAGACUAAUUUACACAAAACUUGAGCUUACUUACUAAACCACUAUCCUCUCAAAAACUUGAUCUCAUUUACCAUAGGAUUAGCUCCCAAAACGUGAUGUAUGAGAGCAAGUUAUACAAUCUUCAUCACAGGAGCUGCUGAUAGUUUAUAUUUACUCAUGUCUGAGAGACGUGAAACUUAUGUAGAACAUGGAUAACAAGAAGAGAGAACAGUUACGAAGCCAACGAAUUAAAUUUACAUGUCCCAACUCCUAACUUACACUAAACAAAAUUUCCAGAAAAGAAAUCUGAAAUAUUUACUUUCUAGUAAACAACAUGGCAUGGUUAUAUUGAUUACCUUCAAUUUCAUCAUCGUCAAGUGGUGCAUGUUUAUCAAAAUCAAAUCUUUCCCAACCAUCCAUGCCUUUGGUUGUGUCCUUCUCAGCUGCAUUUAACAAAUUAUGGUGAUUAGUUUGCACAGCUCUAAGCAAACGCAAACAUUACAGAUUAACACAUUCCACAGACACGAGCGGAGACUCACCAGUUUCAGCAAGUUGGAGUUUCAUCUUUGCUUUUACUCUCUCGGCUGCAGACUGUUCAAAACACAAUUACAGAUUGUAUCACACUUCAAAUUCUCAGAGCCAAAACUAUACUAAUAAACACACACAAUGUUUGCAUAACUCUACUGGCGCAUAAUGUGUGAUCAUUUCAAUCCGAAAAAAUAAGCUUCAAAUUCAUUAUUGCACUCCUAAAACUUCAAACAAAUAAUUCAACACAGAAUCAUACCAUUUUGUCAUAGCCUUGAAUCAAUUUCUGAUAGUCAUGACCACCACUCCUCUCCUUCUCCAAUUUACCUCUGCUCUUCUCCAAACCCCUCUCCCUAGGUGGCGACGAGCUCCGGCUCCGGCUCCUCCGCCGCUCAUUUCUCCGAUUCCGAGGAGACCGACUCCUUCGUCUCCUGCCUCCGUCGUCAGAUUCACUUCCAGACCUGCUCCUUCUCCUCCUCCUUCUCUCUCUAUCUCUAUCACUGUGUCUCUCUCUGCUCCUACUCCGAUGCCUCGAAUGCCUCUCUCUGCUUCUACUCCGCUUCCUCGAAUCCCUAUCCCUCUCCGAAACCCUAGGCCGCCGCUUCUCCUCCUCUCCGGCCAGCUCCUCCGGCUUCUUCCUCUUCAGCUUGCUCUGAAUCGACUGAAUCUGCGCCUGCUUUUCGAGCUCCGACGUCUUGCUAGGGCUGGAGGCCUUGACGAAUUUGCUCAUGAACGAAGACGAGGAACUAUACGCCAGCGCCGAGCCGCGCGCGGGGGCAUUUUCGGAGUCGGACUUGGCCGAAGAGAAGCCGAGGCCUUGUUUGAACCUGGCGGCGCCCUCGCCGCGCCGGGUUAGGUCUUCGUAGUACGCCGCCGCUUUCGCUUCCUCCAUUUUUCGACGACGGUAUGGGAACUUUGGCGCCGUGCCCAACUCGGUGGCGGUCCUUUUUGACUGUUACCAGCUUAACGACGUCGUUAUGGUUUGGGCUUGGGAUACUUAACAUACAGAUGGGACAGUGGCCCAUACGGGAAUGAGAACUUUAAGGCCCAAGACUCGAGUCGUAAAUUUUUUUUAUUUUUUAUUUUAUGUGAAAUCCAUACACCCACUUUUCAUUUUCAGUAAUCAUUAUUAUAUAAAGACAAAAUUUAAGUCAUUAAAAACAAAAUUUAAGCUACUAAAAAAAAAAGUGAGUGUGUGGAUUUUAGUUUUUCAAUGGUGAACUAAAAGAACAUAAAAGUUACAAAGAAAAUCCUCUAAUAUGAAAAUCAAAAUUGAAUGCAGGAGAAACAUAAAGAGGGAGACUUUGAUGCCAGCUUGCACUGGAUGUCAAAUGGCUAAGAUUUGCAAGAGCGUUAGUAAGAAAUUUAGUUCUUACCAAAUAUGUCAAAACUCAAGUUAAUCAAAUAAAGUGGGUGUCAAAUACCAUUGAAAAUAGUCUUAAUUCUUCAAGGAAUGGUGCAAACUCUGUUAAUAGCAUCUAUAAGGAUCUUAAAAUCUCCUUUUCCUUUUUGUAACUCAGAGUCGAUGUGAUUGUUAAAUGCAUCGAGUUGGUGUUGAGUCACUCAGCAUGACUUAUUAGAUAUAAAUUGGAAACACAACAAAUAAACACUCGUUAUUGAUUUGCCCCACUUGCUUCCCAAUCCAGGUCCUAUAACAUGUGAGUUGGCUACCUUGUUCUUUUCUUUCCCAAACUUGGGAAAGCAAUAUAACUACAACUAGUGGUUCAAUAGAUAUAGCAACCAGAUCUUUGUGCGGAGGAGUCAGCCGGACGUGACCUAAAUCCAAUUCAAUCCCCAAAUUAAGUAACAAUCCAAUCCCUUAAUCUCUAUCAAAUCCCUUGCUCUAAAGUCGAGGUACUUGUUCUCGGUGAUUUUCAGUGCGGCGACAUCGAGCUCUGGCUGCUCUGAAGUAGACAGAGCUUCGGUUUUCUGCGGCUCCUCCGGCGGAUCAUCCUCCUCGUCGGCCCAACGUUUUACCUCGGGCUUCGCCGGCGGCGGGGACGCAAUAGUGGCGGACUCGGCAGAAGGAGUUUCGACUGGUGGCGUCAUUGUUGCUGCGUCGGUCUCGGCCAUGUAGGGCGGUAAAAGAUGAAGUUUGGAUCGGAGUCGAGCGCAGGGGGUUCUGAGUUUUGGGUGGCCUUGGAUUUGGGUAAAUUUUGGGUACCCAUGGGUAUUACCCAUACCCAUAAAAAAAAAACCAAUGGGUAGUUUUCAAUUACCCAUUACCCAGAAAAAAUACCCAUACACAACACUCAUCCUCAGAAUUUAAUACCCAAACCCGUAGGUUUUAAUGCCAACUUUAGUUGAUACUCAUGAAUUUAAUAUUUGUGACCUUAAACUUUGAGUUUGUCACCAGUUAAUGGACAUUUUCACUUGAAAGGAAAUAAUAGACAUUUAAACGCAUUUUUAUUCAUGGUCAUAAUAAGACAGUCUUCUUAUCAUUAGGAGGAGAGAAAAAACUAUUAUCAUUUGAAUAACGGCGUGAAUUUGAGUGGAAUGUAUUCACCAGGUCUAAAGUUUUAAGCUCCUGAAAAUUGAAGAUUAUACAAGUCCUAUAAUGUUUUAUGAUAUUAUGUUGAUCAUCAAUGAAAAUUUACAUAUGGUAGCUACCAAAGAUCAUUAAGGACUGUAUGAUGCAAUACCACGUUUCAUUAUGAAUGUCGACAAAGCAUAUUAUUGGCCAAUUGGAUAGAGGCAAUUCCAAUUAAACUGAAUAUCUAAAACGUGAUAAGAUAUUUAGACCUUUAAUCCUACAUGAUACAAAAGGGUAUAAUCACAGUGAAAAUAAAUCACUAUGACACAAUGUCUACAAGAGACAUGGGGAUUACGAAUAUUUUUUCUUAUACGUGACAAUUUUCUGUAAGUACAGUGUUACAUAUAAUUAUCAACGAGAGACUUACGGCAGUUGUCAUCGUAUAUUAUGAGGAUCUUAAAAGACUUUGCUAAAGGUAAAAUCCCAAAAGUAAAGCAUCAUUAUAAGCGUAUCGCUUAUAAAAUCCUUAAAUUAUCCAAGUACAUGAAUGAUUCGAACGUAAAUCGAUUCAAGAAUACUUGAGAGAGUCUGAAUGUGAAUUCCUCAUCGCCUAAGGGAAAUGACGUGAUGUGCCUUAUACAUGCAAACAAAAUUCCCAUUAGUGAGAUGUGUCUUGGGUUAGAACCCAAGAAGAAAGCCAUGAGGGGGAGGCCCAAAGGCGAGCAUAUCUCGUUGUGCUGGGCUGUUAAACUAAAGUUAACUCAUGCAAUCGAUAGUCUAAGGCUAGCUCAUGUAUACUUGUUCUGUUAUAGUUAACAUGAUCAAAAUUGCCUCAAUAAGUAUUAUGAUUGGGCUACAAAACGAAAUUCGGAUUAUAUUGCUACAUAUUCUAACUUUCGUGUAAUUAUGAAUUGCUUAGAGCUCUUAAAGAGCUUAUACGAGAUGCAUCAAUAAACAAAGAUAUUGAUAUGAGUGGCUAGAUAUGCCAUGAUGAUCUUCCAAUGGUUUGAAUCAUACAUAGUAAUGUGUUAAUUAACUUCUAUUGCUUAGUUAUUACAGUGUAUGAAUUUGAACAUGUGAGGUUGUUUCUAACAUUACUAAUUAAAUGAGGUAAGACCUAUUAAAUUGUAUAGCUCUCUUGGUAUUACUUUCACUUUGCAGGUACGAAAAUCUUGUGAUGAGAGUUAUACAAAACAAACAAAAUCUCACUUCAGUGAUAGACAAAUCAAACUGCUAUUUACGGUACAUAAAGUUUGCAACAAUCAGGGGGAGAAUCUCAUCAGGAGGAGCAUCCAGAAGUAUGCUACCUAGAACAUAUGUGUGUUGCACUCUUUUUCUCCUUCGACCAGGGUUGUUUUUUCCCAUAGAGUUUUUAUUACCUAACAAGGUUUUUAACGAGGCAACACUAAGCGCGUCCAACAUCAUAUUAUUGAUGGACAUCCAAGGGGGAGUGUUGUAAAUAUUUACAAUCAAGUGUCUGUUCAUUCAUCUUUCGAGGACUUAUAGGCAAUAUCUUAAUAGUAUAAAGACUUAUAAUGUAAUAUCUACCUCUAUACAAAGGAGGCAUAUGAGACAUAAUAAGAUGUUUUUCUUUCUCUCCCUACAUUUUGUUCUUCUCUUUUCUGUAUGUCUUAUUCUUAGUUUAUAUAUAUAUAUAUAUAUAUAUAUAUAUAUAUAUUACUANNNNNNNNNNNNNNNNNNNNNNNNNNNNNNNNNNNNNNNNNNNNNNNNNNNNNNNNNNNNNNNNNNNNNNNNNNNNNNNNNNNNNNNNNNNNNNNNNNNNNNNNNNNNNNNNNNNNNNNNNNNNNNNNNNNNNNNNNNNNNNNNNNNNNNNNNNNNNNNNNNNNNNNNNNNNNNNNNNNNNNNNNNNNNNNNNNNUUCUUAGGAGACGGAAUACUUUCGUCUCCUAAGCACUUAGGCGACGGAUUUUAUUUUAUAAUAAAAAAAAUUAUCCACUUAGGAGACGGAAUAGUUGAAUUCCGUCACUAAAGGCUGAAAAAAAAAUUUAAAAAAUAAAUAAAAACGCCACCGCAGGUUUUUUAUCCACUCACUCCGACCGCCUCAAAUACCACCACCACCGCAGGUUUCAGAAAUCACAACUAAAUGUCUUGAACUUCUUCUCAUCCUGCAUAUAAGUAGUAAAAACUUGCAUUUAUAAACUGCAUAUGGAAAAAAUAAAAUUUACUGCCCCCAGUAAACUUCUACUGGGGAUCAGUAAACUUGCAAAAAAUAACUCCCUUUCAAUUUCAGGGGCACAACACACAAUAUAUACCAAUUCUUACCUUAAUAAAGAAUUUUAUUGGCCCCUAGUGAACCCAGAAGAAGUUUACUGCCCCCCAGUAAACUUCUACUAGGGGUCAGUAAAAUUCAAUACAUUAUCUCCCUUUUAAUUUCAUACUAAUUAUACACAACAAAUACUCGUUCUUACCCUAAUAAACAAAUUCAUUGCCCCCUAGUAAACCCAGCGGAAGUUUACUGCCCCUUAGUAAACUUCUACUAGGGGUCAGUAAACUUCAAUACAGUAUCUUCCUUUCAAUUUCAUAUCAAUUAUACACAACAUAUACGCUUUCUUACCCUAAUAAACAAAUUCAUUGCCCCCUAGUAAACCCAGUGGAAGUUUAUUGCCCCCCAGUAGAAGUACUGGGGGUCAGUAAACUUCAAUACAGUAUCUCCCUUUCAAUUCAUGCCAACAAUUUGCCCCAAAUAUACCACCACCACCACCACCGUACCAAAUAACCACCAUGCCACCACCAUCAUACCAAUCACAUCCUAACCAAAAUUAAAAUCAAAAUCAAAUUAAACAAAAACACAUAAAUCUAUCAUCAAAGCUAAUUAAACCAGAAAAAUUGAAGCACUUACCUUGAUUUCUUACCCCUUUUGAAAUUUCAAGGGACGGUGGUGGGUCGGCGGGAAGGCUUGGUAGAGAGAUAAAGGUGGCGGCAACGGCGUUUGUGGUGACCCAGGUCUGAGGCUUGGUGCAAGAGAAAGGGACGAGAAGCUUGUUGGCGGUGGGGACGGGUGAGUCGGGUCGGGUCAAGAGGGGGAGGUUGUUGGCUCCGAGGAGGGUGCGGAGGUGGUCGGAUGAUGUUGAAGAGGGUCUUGACGGCGUUGAGAGUGGUGGCGUUUGUGGGGAUGAAGUCGAUGAGCUCGUGGCAGUUGGUGGGGGUGGUGCAGUUGAAGGUGGCGGCUGAGGAAGGAGCGGUGAGAAUGGAGAGAGAGGCCGACUUGAGAGUGAGAGAGAGAGAGAGAGAGAGAGAGAGAGAGAGAGAGAC
rnacentral:lncRNA from 1 species